rnacentral:lncRNA from 1 species
UAUCAUUUGCCUAGUGAUCGAAUGGGCUCAAAAUCAACAAAUUUCAAUGGCCGUAGUGAGCCGUUUGUAAGUUUAACGGUGUAGAAAUAUCCAAAUCACGUGAAAUUUUGAUAGAAAAUUUUUUAUACUAUAUAAAACAAGAUCAAUAUCUUUGAUUUAAAAUUUUAAUGUCGUAUUAUUACAUUUUGUAAGAUUUUUAUUUUCAGUCGUUGAUUUUGAGCCCCUUCGUUCACUAAGCAAAUGAUAUCGUAAAAUCAUAAAAUUUAUUUUCUAAGUACUUCAAAUACUCUAGAUCAAAUUUAACAGAGCAGAUCGACGAUUCGAAAGUCGCAACAUCGAAAACGAGCUGGAAGCACGGAAGGCUCCGUGCUUCCGAUAGCAUAGUAGCCUUACUCUAUACAUAAAUACUUUGAAUAUUGUAAAAAAAUACUAUAUGUAUAUUCUAUACAGAGGUGUAUAUAUCUUAUGCACCAACAAAUUCUGAUAUUUAAAAAUCUCAUUGGAUUUUUGCUAAAAAAUAAAAAUUAAUAAGAUGGAUAAAUGGAUUUCAACCAUUCCAAGCCUAGGGUGUCACGCCCCGGGGUCCCCUUUUUAGAUUGAAACACAGCGGAAAAGCGUUUAAAUUUUUUUUUUUUUUUUUUUUUUUUUUUNNNNNNNNNNNNNNNNNNNNNNNNNNNNNNNNNNNNNNNNNNNNNNNNNNNNNNNNNNNNNNNNNNNNNNNNNNNNNNNNNNNNNNNNNNNNNNNNNNNNNNNNNNNNNNNNNNNNNNNNNNNNNNNNNNNNNNNNNNNNNNNNNNNNNNNNNNNNNNNNNNNNNNNNNNNNNNNNNNNNNNNNNNNNNNNNNNNNNNNNNNNNNNNNNNNNNNNNNNNNNNNNNNNNNNNNNNNNNNNNNNNNNNNNNNNNNNNNNNNNNNNNNNNNNNNNNNNNNNNNNNNNNNNNNNNNNNNNNNNNNNNNNNNNNNNNNNNNNNNNNNNNNNNNNNNNNNNNNNNNNNNNNNNNNNNNNNNNNNNNNNNNNNNNNNNNNNNNNNNNNNNNNNNNNNNNNNNNNNNNNNNNNNNNNNNNNNNNNNNNNNNNNNNNNNNNNNNNNNNNNNNNNNNNNNNNNNNNNNNNNNNNNNNNNNNNNNNNNNNNNNNNNNNNNNNNNNNNNNNNNNNNNNNNNNNNNNNNNNNNNNNNNNNNNNNNNNNNNNNNNNNNNNNNNNNNNNNNNNNNNNNNNNNNNNNNNNNNNNNNNNNNNNNNNNNNNNNNNNNNNNNNNNNNNNNNNNNNNNNNNNNNNNNNNNNNNNNNNNNNNNNNNNNNNNNNNNNNNNNNNNNNNNNNNNNNNNNNNNNNNNNNNNNNNNNNNNNNNNNNNNNNNNNNNNNNNNNNNNNNNNNNNNNNNNNNNNNNNNNNNNNNNNNNNNNNNNNNNNNNNNNNNNNNNNNNNNNNNNNNNNNNNNNNNNNNNNNNNNNNNNNNNNNNNNNNNNNNNNNNNNNNNNNNNNNNNNNNNNNNNNNNNNNNNNNNNNNNNNNNNNNNNNNNNNNNNNNNNNNNNNNNNNNNNNNNNNNNNNNNNNNNNNNNNNNNNNNNNNNNNNNNNNNNNNNNNNNNNNNNNNNNNNNNNNNNNNNNNNNNNNNNNNNNNNNNNNNNNNNNNNNNNNNNNNNNNNNNNNNNNNNNNNNNNNNNNNNNNNNNNNNNNNNNNNNNNNNNNNNNNNNNNNNNNNNNNNNNNNNNNNNNNNNNNNNNNNNNNNNNNNNNNNNNNNNNNNNNNNNNNNNNNNNNNNNNNNNNNNNNNNNNNNNNNNNNNNNNNNNNNNNNNNNNNNNNNNNNNNNNNNNNNNNNNNNNNNNNNNNNNNNNNNNNNNNNNNNNNNNNNNNNNNNNNNNNNNNNNNNNNNNNNNNNNNNNNNNNNNNNNNNNNNNNNNNNNNNNNNNNNNNNNNNNNNNNNNNNNNNNNNNNNNNNNNNNNNNNNNNNNNNNNNNNNNNNNNNNNNNNNNNNNNNNNNNNNNNNNNNNNNNNNNNNNNNNNNNNNNNNNNNNNNNNNNNNNNNNNNNNNNNNNNNNNNNNNNNNNNNNNNNNNNNNNNNNNNNNNNNNNNNNNNNNNNNNNNNNNNNNNNNNNNNNNNNNNNNNNNNNNNNNNNNNNNNNNNNNNNNNNNNNNNNNNNNNNNNNNNNNNNNNNNNNNNNNNNNNNNNNNNNNNNNNNNNNNNNNNNNNNNNNNNNNNNNNNNNNNNNNNNNNNNNNNNNNNNNNNNNNNNNNNNNNNNNNNNNNNNNNNNNNNNNNNNNNNNNNNNNNNNNNNNNNNNNNNNNNNNNNNNNNNNNNNNNNNNNNNNNNNNNNNNNNNNNNNNNNNNNNNNNNNNNNNNNNNNNNNNNNNNNNNNNNNNNNNNNNNNNNNNNNNNNNNNNNNNNNNNNNNNNNNNNNNNNNNNNNNNNNNNNNNNNNNNNNNNNNNNNNNNNNNNNNNNNNNNNNNNNNNNNNNNNNNNNNNNNNNNNNNNNNNNNNNNNNNNNNNNNNNNNNNNNNNNNNNNNNNNNNNNNNNNNNNNNNNNNNNNNNNNNNNNNNNNNNNNNNNNNNNNNNNNNNNNNNNNNNNNNNNNNNNNNNNNNNNNNNNNNNNNNNNNNNNNNNNNNNNNNNNNNNNNNNNNNNNNNNNNNNNNNNNNNNNNNNNNNNNNNNNNNNNNNNNNNNNNNNNNNNNNNNNNNNNNNNNNNNNNNNNNNNNNNNNNNNNNNNNNNNNNNNNNNNNNNNNNNNNNNNNNNNNNNNNNNNNNNNNNNNNNNNNNNNNNNNNNNNNNNNNNNNNNNNNNNNNNNNNNNNNNNNNNNNNNNNNNNNNNNNNNNNNNNNNNNNNNNNNNNNNNNNNNNNNNNNNNNNNNNNNNNNNNNNNNNNNNNNNNNNNNNNNNNNNNNNNNNNNNNNNNNNNNNNNNNNNNNNNNNNNNNNNNNNNNNNNNNNNNNNNNNNNNNNNNNNNNNNNNNNNNNNNNNNNNNNNNNNNNNNNNNNNNNNNNNNNNNNNNNNNNNNNNNNNNNNNNNNNNNNNNNNNNNNNNNNNNNNNNNNNNNNNNNNNNNNNNNNNNNNNNNNNNNNNNNNNNNNNNNNNNNNNNNNNNNNNNNNNNNNNNNNNNNNNNNNNNNNNNNNNNNNNNNNNNNNNNNNNNNNNNNNNNNNNNNNNNNNNNNNNNNNNNNNNNNNNNNNNNNNNNNNNNNNNNNNNNNNNNNNNNNNNNNNNNNNNNNNNNNNNNNNNNNNNNNNNNNNNNNNNNNNNNNNNNNNNNNNNNNNNNNNNNNNNNNNNNNNNNNNNNNNNNNNNNNNNNNNNNNNNNNNNNNNNNNNNNNNNNNNNNNNNNNNNNNNNNNNNNNNNNNNNNNNNNNNNNNNNNNNNNNNNNNNNNNNNNNNNNNNNNNNNNNNNNNNNNNNNNNNNNNNNNNNNNNNNNNNNNNNNNNNNNNNNNNNNNNNNNNNNNNNNNNNNNNNNNNNNNNNNNNNNNNNNNNNNNNNNNNNNNNNNNNNNNNNNNNNNNNNNNNNNNNNNNNNNNNNNNNNNNNNNNNNNNNNNNNNNNNNNNNNNNNNNNNNNNNNNNNNNNNNNNNNNNNNNNNNNNNNNNNNNNNNNNNNNNNNNNNNNNNNNNNNNNNNNNNNNNNNNNNNNNNNNNNNNNNNNNNNNNNNNNNNNNNNNNNNNNNNNNNNNNNNNNNNNNNNNNNNNNNNNNNNNNNNNNNNNNNNNNNNNNNNNNNNNNNNNNNNNNNNNNNNNNNNNNNNNNNNNNNNNNNNNNNNNNUUUCAACCGAAGACCACGCAUAGCCUGAGGCAAGUAUAGUCAGGUUAUCGAGCAAAGCUGGCCAAGUCGAUAAAACCUUGGUUACCGUGACUGCCUUAACCUAAACCUACGUGUCUAAAGCUCUUUUUCCCCAAAUUACCAAAAUCGUAUAUCAACAGAUAUACGCCCAAAACCACCUUGGAACCUCCCUACCAAAACAGCGUUUAGCCUUUGGAAAAGCCCGCUUUGCUUUACGAUCUAAGCUACGGAGACAGCACGACUAGCGCGACCACGCUAGGCUAGCCUUUAGACUGCCUGCCUAGAAGCCCUUAGCGCUUUUCAGGCGCUUCCCCGACUAAACUCUUUAGCCUAGUAAGCGCUUUUCCGGGAUAUAAAAUACGUAGCUUAACGCUCAGAAGCUUGAGUCUCUCUGAUAGCGCGUAACACGCUGACGACCAACUCUCGACCCUAAUUUAUCUAAGGAAAGCUCCCCCAAAAGGCGCUCAAAAGGUGUGGAAAUAUAUCCACCUAGAUCCCAAAAGAACCUGGUUUGGGAUUGGGAUCUUGGACUCCGUGGCUUCUCCGGAAAACCGGAGUUACUAUUCACUUAAGUGAAAACUAAAAGUCGCGUAUCUUCUCCAUUUUAGCUCAUUUUCGCCCGAAACUUGACGAGUGCUUAUGUAAUUAAAUUACACACAUAAACAUCAUCAACAGAGAGUUUAGUAGCACCGUCAAAAAUCUCAAUCCUUACAUAGGGUGUAAGUCUUACACCUAAUUAUAUUAGACGUACAUUACCCGAUUACCAAACAUGAAAACCUAAAUCCGAAUCCAACGAAUUUUAAAAAUCCAUAUCCAACCCAAACCUAACCAAAAAUCUAAAACAAUAACCAAAACCAGAACUUGAAAUAAUUAUUUCUCUUUACUGCAUUUCAAAACAUAUUACACUAAAUCUAAGGGUUCGCCCUUUUUCACACUGGAAUCGGAAUCGGAAUGGACGAAUCCGUUUGUCCGUAUUUAGUAUGCGGGAUUCUCACUUCGAUUCUGAUUUCUGGGUGAAUGGGAAUCCCCCAAUUACCCAAUUUUUCAAUCCGGCCUUGGAGGUCGAAUUGGAAAUUAAAUUAGGGCGGAAUGGAUUUGUUCAAAUUAAAUUUUAUUUUUUAAAACUUAUUUUUUAAUUAAAACAUAAGUUUAAGUUAAAAAUUAUAUUUAUAAUUUUAAAUUUUAAUUUGAACUUAAAUUAAAAAUUAAAAUUCAAUUAAGAAUUUCGAUCCUGACUUAGCCUGUCAAUCACCGAUCCUGUCUCAGUCUAUCAUUCCGACCAUGGCUCAGUCAAAACUCAUCUCACACUUACGGCUAGUGAACUGGCUCUGAUACCAAAUGUAGCGAUCUGACCCGCUAGCAACAAUAACUUGUUGGGUCAAAAACUAUGAGCCCAAAAUGUUUAAGCUUAGUUAUUAUUACUAUAGUGGAGUCCUUUUAUAUACCCAAUAAUAAUUCCAUUCCCAUCCAAUGUGGGACUAUUGGGUAUCACAUCUCUUUUUGUUCCCGAACCAAACAUUGUCUUAUUAGGGAAUAAUAAUGGUAGAGUUCUCUUGGAUUCCAAGAUGUUUGAAUAGUGGAUAUCUAUAUCUAUAUCUAUAUCUAUAUUAAUACAUUAUAGGGCGAACCCAAAACCCCUUCUACGGUCGCUCCAUAAUUUCAGGGUAGGUCCGGCUGUCUACGCUCGCGUGUGGGUCCCUCACAGGCUCUCCCUCGUGCCAUGGGUCUCUCGCACGAAAAAUUCUAGAAUGCAACGGGUAUAUUAGUGACGUGGCGUAACAAACCAAUCAAAUUAAUCCUUUUAAGAAUAUAUGUCCCAUCAUGAUUGUAAAAAAGUAUUUUUAUUGUACUUUUGUUUGAAAAGAAUGAAUGUGAUUGACUUGUUAUUGAUGACAUGGUGCAAGUGUGACAGUGUAGAAUUCCUCCNAUAUAUAUAUAUAUAAUUUAUUCGGUUUUGAAUUCGGAUAAUAUUUUGAAUAUCCAUACCUAUUGACAUCCGUAUUUCUUAUUCCUCUUUUCAAUAUACAAAAAAUACGUAUUAAACACGGUGAACCAUUCACCGUGUUUGAACACGGUGAACCAUUCACCGUGUUUGAACACGGUGAAUGGUUCACAGUAUUCAAGUUAACACACGGUCCCGGUCCUGCCCGCGUGGCGCUGAUGUGGCGCCUAUGUGGCAGGCCCAGGGCCAUAUUUGCAAAGUAAAUUUUAACAGAGCUAUUUUUAAAAUAAAAAUUUUCAGGAGUCUAAAUGCAAAAAAAGCCGACUACUAAUUAACCACCCUAUAAGGUUAGGGCUUGGUCUCUUGCAAGUAAAAGUAAAAGUGACCAUCCAUCGGUUUGGUUUGAUUUUUUUUUAAAAAAAUUUCUAAUGCAAAAUAUUGAUUUGCUCAAUUUUGUUUAUAUAUAGUUCUAUAUGAGUUUGGCUACCGUACUAUCAAUAAUACCAAGUACUUGGUGCUAUUAAGUUUUCUACCGUCAAAUCUAUCUUUUUGAUCAUUUUUACUCGUUAAAUCAUACUAUUCAACUAACAACCCUCUCAAUCCUAGGGGACUACUAUCAUUCUAACCACAUAUCCUUUCAUCCAAGGAUCUAAAACUUAAUAGUACAAAUGACUUGGUGUAUUAAUAGUACAGUAGCCUAGUUCUAUAUAUAUAUAUAUAUAUAUAUAUAUGUAUAGAGUCCGGCUGGGAUACUAGCAAUAGCACAAAGCAUUUGGUGCUAUCAAAUUUUCCGUCGUUAAAUUUAACUCUUAGACUAUUUUCACCUGUUAAAUUAUAUUAUUAAACCAAUAACUCACUCCACCUAAGGAGCAGCCCAUAUCAUCCUAACCGUAUUUUUUUUUCAUCCGAGGGCCGAAAACUUAAUAGUACCAAUAGUUUGAUGCUAUUGAUAGCAUUCCAGCUCAACUCUCUAUAUAUAUAUAUAUUAGCAACAAUGCCUGCGGCCGUAACUGUUUUUAAUAAAAAAAAUUUCCCCCACUUUAUAUAUACAAAUAUUAACUAUUCAGAUGAUUAAAUUUAAAUUCAAAUGAUAACUUAUUCUUUAUUUUCCCUCUCCUGUUUUGGUUCUUCAUCCAAAGGGAGUGUGAAAGAUUUCAUCUUUUACCCUAAAGCUUCCAAAACAAAAAAAAAAAACCGAUUAUCACCUUUAACGGCUCCUACAAUACUAGAUAUCUAGCUUGAUAAUGUGGCGGCGAAAAAUACUAUUUUUAUACCAUAAAAGGCUCAAAAAGAUUUGAAAAUGCUUAUAAUCUUAUUUUUUAUACUGAAAAGAGGAGGAUUAUAACCACUUUCAAACUUUUUAAAAUGAUGCUUUUAAGGACCACACUACCAAAGUGGGCCUAAGAGCAUAGUUGCCAUAACAAACGCCCAGAAACAGCUUACUCAGAAGGAUAUGGCAAUGCAAAUAACAAAGAACGCACUACCAUAUGAUUCUGCAGGAUAGAAUCCGAGGCGGCCCCAGCGCGAAAUUCACUAUUAGCCCAAAGACAAUGAGACAUUUCAACAGAAGAUGUAACAACAACAAACAAGGAAAUGAGCCAUGUCCAUUUUCUUUCUCUUUCAACUUUUUUUUUUUUUCCCUUUAUCACUCCUUUUCCUGCUACAGGGAAGCGGAGGUCACAAACUUCCUGUAAGCCCUAAGCAGAUCCUGGGCCGAGAACGGGGAGGUCCACUCGUGAGACCCGGGCCCGCCGGCCGCAGCCGACGGAUCCGCCGCGAGGCUGCUGCCGCCGUAGACGCUGCUGCCGUUCGCAACCCUCCCACCACCCAUGAACAUGGUAGACCAUGUAUCCGAGAGAUCCUCGAAAUCCAUAGACGGCUUUAGUAGCGUGGUGUCUAGGCUCCAAUCUAUGGAAGUGUAAUCGCACCGCAUCAUCCCGCCGGUGCUCCAAUCGACAGGGGUCGGCGAAGGCAAGGACCCGCCAUGGCCNUAUAUAUAUAUAAUUGUUAUAAUGCGAUCUAAGUGUCUUUAAUUUGAAAUCAUAUGAUAUAUAUGGAAGGAUAAGCGAAUGAAUAAAAAACAAAAAAAAUUAAAUUUUUUUGUUUUUUAAAAAUAAUGCUAUAUAUGCAUUAUUAUAUGAAAUAUAUAAACAAAGAAAGGUAGAAAUUAAAUUUUGUUUAGUAAAAAUGUACAUAAUUUACUUAAACUAGGACCAUUUUGAGCUAGCUAUCCUACAUUGGAAAAUUUUAAUUUUAAGACAUUUUGAAUUCAUAAUUUGAAUGUGUUAUUUAUCUUUACAAGUUUAAUUAAUAUUUUUAUUGAUUGUCUCUAGAGCAAGUGGCAAAGGGCUUGGCGGUUGGUACCGGAGGUCCCAAGUUCGAAUCCUAAUUGAUUCACAUUUCCAGCUAAGUUUAUUUCUAAAUGAAAUAAACGAAGCGAGUAGUGUGCUACCUAUCUCUCAAAAAAAAAAGUUUAAUUAAUAUUUUCAUACAAUUUUCUCAACUAUAAAUUCAUUAAAGUAAGCAAUUCGCUUAAAUUUUGAAGUCAAACUACGUUGACUUACCCAAAUCAGACAAAUCGAUAUGUUUGGUAGUCAAAUCAAAAUUUUGAAAGGUUGGGCAGCAUAUUCACAAUAGUCCACAGUUUAGGUAAGUUUUAUAUAUUUUUACCUUUUUAUUUUUCAAAAUGAAGCUAGAAUACUUUUAAUAGUAAAAUAUGCCCACGCCCAUAGCUAUGAUCAACAUCGAGGUCAUUAGGAGGUAUGUUAUCAAGUGGCUCAAUGCUUGCUAUCGGAUUGAGAACCUCGUUGAUAAUCCCCACAUGACGCUAGGGUUAGAAUUGGCCGGGUUUGGGUCGGAUAAUACUAUGCCCAAGUCUGACCCCAAAAAAAUAUAUUGGGCUUUAUGUCGGGCUUCUAUUUUUGCUUAAAAAAAUAUAGGCUCCAAUGAAAGAUCAAAAUUCUAAUUAAUAUUUAUUAUAUCAAAAUUCUAAUUAAUAUUUAUUAUAUCAAAAUUCACCUUGAUAACCUCCAAUGCCAACAACGUAAAGUGUAAUUCGAACUCCCUUACUAUCCCGUUUUGAUCACUGAACGUGCAAAUUGCGCCAAUUAACUCCCUCCCUUUCACUCUCUCUCCUUCUCGCUCUGCCCUGCUUCUGCAGUUGCAGCCAGCAGCUUUUUUUUUUUUUUUUUUUUUUUUUUUUUUUUUUUUUUUUUUUUUUUUUUUUUUUUUAGAGAGAGAGAGAUAGGUAGCACGCUAACUGCUUCGUUUAUUUCAUUUAGAAAUAAACUUAGCUGAAAAUGUGAAUCAACUAGGAUUCGAACUUGGGUCUCGGAUACCAACCACCAAGCCCUUUGCCACUUGCUCUAGAGACGGUCGGUAGCCGGCAGCUUUUGUUGCUGCUGCAUUCGGGCACUGUUGAGGCCCGCUUAUGCAUUUGUCACACCGCAUAAUAUAUCUUUUUUAUUGUAUUAAAUUGAAGUAAAAUAUCUAUUUUUAUAUGUCAAGACCGGAAUUUAAUCACAUCGAAAAAUUAGUUUAUCUCUAAAGCACCUUCAAUAUUCAACUCAGCAUCAAAAUCUCAAGUAUUAAAAGUUGUAAUUAUCAUUCAUAAAAAUAAUUUUAUUCAUUAGCUAAAAGACAUCUAGAUUAUCAACGAAAACUAAUAGUCAAUUAAAAUCAAGUGUGGGACCCAACAGAAAAUGUCUAACUGAUUAGGGUAUAUAUUAGAAUAAUAUAUCUUUACAUGAGAAAUAGAUAUUUAGUUAAACAAAUAACAUAUCCUCGUAUAUAUUAAUAUAUACCCUUAAUAAUACUAGAACUAGGCUAGAAUAUUAUUAUUAAUAGCACUAAGUCAUGGUGCUGUUAGGUUUUCAGCCUUUUGAUGAAGGUAUGUGCGGUUAGGAUGAUAGUGAUUUCUAGGGUUGAGUGGGUAGUUAGUUGAAUUGUAUGAUCUAACGGAUCGAAAUGGUCAAAAGGGUAGAUCUAAUAGCAGAAAACUUGAUAGCGUCAAGUGCUUGAUGCUAUUCAUAACAUAGUAGCCGGACUCAUAAUAGUAUAUUAUAUAUAAAAUAUUAUAUCUUUCAUUCCUAAUAUGGAUAAAUAUAUCACAAGUAUAACUAAUUUUAUUAUGGUAACUAAUAUAGUGGGCUUUCAGGUCAAGCCCGAGUCGGGCUUGCACAUGUUCAAAUAGACCUAAAACUUUUUCAGGCCUAAAUUUUUAAGUCCGGCCCAAAUCCAAAAUUAUAAUUUUGAUACCUAAAGCCCGGCCCACAUAUGGCCCAUUAGAUCAGGCCUUGUUUAGGCCCAGGCCCAAUUCCACCUCUACAUGACGCUCAUGAAUCUCCUGGGUGUCCUAUAGCACUGGUCGAUCAUUCUCUAUAGCGGUCGGUGUAGAUACUAUGUAAUAUACUGAACUUUGGCUAAAUUGGCAAAGUACUGAUUAAAUCAUGCUAGACAUAAUUAAAAUACAGUUUGAGAAGAGUUUGGAUCGAAUUGAAACUAAUUCGGAUGAAAUGGAGUUCCAAAAGGAGUUGGAACUAGAGUUCUAGACUUCUCGGACGCCCGGAGCAGGGAUUCAGGUACACAAAAAGAUAUGGAAACGUGGACUUGGAGAUUUAUAUGUACCAACCAUUGGGAUUUAUUUCAAAGAUUUCUCUAAAUCAUGUAUGUCGGUUGAAAAAGGUGAUUUAUGGGCUCAAGAAAGCGUCAUGAGCUUGGUAUGAUAAAAUUACUCAAUACCUUCUCUUUUGUCGUUUUCAUAUUUUCAAUUCCAAUCCAAGUAUAUUUGUGAAAAAGUAUAAUGGUAUGCCUGUCAUUGUGUUGCUCUAUGUGGAUGACAUGAUUGUUACCAGAGAUUACCGAGGAGAUUAGUAAAUUUAGGGAUGAGUUUGCUAUUUGGGUUGAAAUGAAAGAUUUAGAUGAGUUGAGGCACUUUUUUGGAUUGGAGGUUGAGAAGGAUAGUAAUAGUAUUUUUGUCUCUCAAAAAUACUAUGCCUCAAAGCUUGUUGAAAAGUUUGGUUUGAAAUAAGAGUAAGUCAUGCUCUACUCCUAUGGAUGUAAAUAUGAGGAUGCAAAAGAGUAAUGGUAAGGCUCUUAAGGAUCUAAGCCUUUACCGGACAUUUAUUGGUAGCUUGUUGUAUCUUACUAUUACUAAGUCGGAUAUUGCAUAUUCGAUAGAGGUAGUUAGCCCGUUUACAAGAAAGCCACAUUUGUAUACCGCUAAGAAAAUUCUCAAGUUCGUCAAUUCCUCUUUUGAUCUUGGUUUUUUUUUUUACAAGAAGAGUGUAAGAUGUGAACUUGUAGAUUUUACCGAUGCUAAUUAAGUAGGUGAUCUUGAUGAGAGGAAAUAUACACCGGGCUAUAUGUUCAGAUUGGGUUCCAGUUAUGGAUCAUGGUGUAGCAACAAGCAAGACACCGUGACGCUAUUUAGUAAGGAGGCAAAGUACAAAGCGGCAAUCCUUGCGGCACAAGAAUGUAUAUGCAUGCAUGGUUGUGGACUUUGGUUGGUGAUGUGACAAAAAAAGUAGACUAUUUGGUGAAGGUUCAUUGUGACACCCGAAGUGCAAUUAAGUUGGCGGCGAAUCUGGUGUUUCAUGCUAGAACCAAAGUGCAAUCAAGUUGGCGGCGAAUCCCGUGUUACGAAAGAAAGUGCUUUAUGAUGAAAUCGAGUUAAUGGAAGUGCAGUCUCAAGACAACUUGGUGGAUAUUUUCACCAAAGCUCUUCCAAUGGUGAAGUUUGCAGAACUUCAAGAAGGACUCUUCCAAAGACAACUUGUUUUUUAAAUAUUUUUGGCUUAUUAGAUUAAUAAGUAUAUUUAUAGAAGUCAAAUGAUCUAUUAUUUAAAUGGGUCUUUUUUAUUCCUUUUGAGUCAAGUUGACUUGUGGUUUAUUGGCGUUAAGUAAGACAUGUUGGGCCACAUAUAUAGAUUUAGUUAGGAGUCAAAAGAAAAUAGAUUAAGAGAGAAUAGUAGCUUCUUCGUUGUAGUAUUUCUCUCAAAGGCAAGAGAAGUAUGAAAGAGGGUUCAAAGGUUGUAGGAUUUUGUUAGGUUUGAAACGGGUGACCUCUAAUCUACCUCUUUCCCUCUCUUGUGAAUAUUUGUUGUAAGGUAAUUUUGGUUGAAAGUUUAUUUGGUAUUUUUUUGAUUUUCUAUUGUAUGGUGUUUUGGAUAUUUUUGGGGAAGUUGAUUAAAUUCAUAUGUUAAGUUGUUUUAGAUUAUUAUUAUGAGCUUUUUAUUUCUCUAUUCUUGUCUUCUAUAGUAAUUGUGUGAUUUUGGGCACGUAAGAAAUUUGAAUUUUUCAGUUGCUACACAUUGUAGGAUAUGUUGUGAUCUAGUUAGAGCUGAUUGUACUUUUUGCUUCAAGCUUAAGGGAGAUUUGAUGGUGGAAAGGGAGAGAGAGAGAUGAAGUUGGGAGAAGGUCUUUCUCUCUCUAGAAAGGACGAAAAAAGAGAAGAAAUGAAAGGAAGAGAGAAAAAUUGAGAUGUUGUAUAAAAAAGGCAACAACACCCCUCUCUUACACAACUUGCGUACAUGCAGAUUUUGGUGCCUGAAUAAGAGUACCAAUACUUCCUCACUGAGUAUCGGUAUACUCUUAUAGUUCCACAAAAUGCUUGAGUGUUGGCAGCCAAAACAACUGAAGUGCAUCGGUACUCUCCAUUUGAGUAUCGAUACACGAUAUCCAGUAUCGGUACUCAACCUGAGUUCCGCAAAACCUAAACGUUAUCCCGUAGAGACUUAUGUUGAGUAUUGGUACCGAGGGAAUCAAUACUGGUACCAAUUAGGGAUUUGGCCCAAACUGCAGCUUGAUUUCCGAAACUCUGAUUUUGCACCGUUUUCGCAUCAAACCAGUUCUAUCUUAUCUCAAAUUCUCCCAAAACCUCUCUCAUAAGCUAUUUAAUAAUGAACUUUAGCUAUUUGCAAAAUUCAGUAUGCUACAAUGAUGCAUCGUCUUCAUGAAAAUUUCAAAAAAUGGUGAUUUGUUCGCCGUCUGUUCAGAGAUGGUGAACAAUUUAUCGUCUUCUAUAGUUGUCUCUUGUAUGCGUCAUUAAGUUGAUCAAAAGAGAGUUAGUUUCUCAAAUAAAAUUUUUGAAAGACUAUUUAGCCAAUUUGAAAAUUUUAGAAGAUUACUUUAAAAAAAAAUUUUGUGAAAAACUAUUUUCGGGAAAAAAAAAGUCAUAAAAAACAUUGGCCAAUUUGCAUAAAAAAUCCACAAGUUUUCAGCUUUUGCAAAACUAGGCCAUUAUUUUGGAUUUUGCAGAUUUGAUCCGAAUUUUUAGAAAACUGACUAAAAUACCAUUAUUCUCUUUUCUCUCUCUCUCUCCUUUUUUACAUUCUUUUUUUUUUUCUCUCCGACCCUCCUUCACCGCCUCCGCGGCCUUUCUCGACGGCAAACAGGGUGGCCCGCCUUCUCUUCCUCUGCUUCUUUUUUUUUUUACAUUCUUUUUUUUCUCUCUAACUCUCCUCCAUCACCUCAGCAGUCUAUUGCUACAGUAACAUCGACGGCACCGCCCCUUUUCCAAUACCUGCGUCAGAGGAGAAGGAUUCAAAGCGAGUACAGAGGAGAGCGGAACAAACGGAGGCGAUGAAGUCGUGGUUGAGAUAGUGUUCGCUGUUGCUUGUGAGUAUGUGAGGACUGAGAUUUUUUCCCUAUGUAUAUUGGACAUCUUCUUAAAUGUUAUCGUAUGUAUAUUAACUGUAUGCUUAUUUGCUAAAUUUCAGCGAAAAAAAUUUAAAAUAAAGUUUUUACGCGUUUAUUACUUUUCACUUAAAGUGAAUAGUAACCUACGUUUCUGGUGAUGACCGAGGAGAGAGGUAGCCUUUGGAUACGAAUCGUACUCCAUUCCCAGCGAUCCAAUAGCUUAUUUUCGAUGGUCCAACUGUGUCAAAACUAAUAGCACAGAUGGAUUUUAUGUUCGAUGCACGAUUUUCGAGAAAAAUAAGUUUUAUCGCUAAGAGGGUAUUUAUUCUGUGUUGAACUUGCUUUUUCGAAGCGAUCGGUGCUUCGUUUUGCAUGAAAACUCGCGGGCAGGGACCUUUUUGCGAGAGGAACGUAAUAAAGAGGGAUUAGAAUGUGAACUUCGAGAGUUAGGGGACUUUAGAGUGAUUAUCCUCCAAGAAUAGUGGUUUAUAGGUUUAGAUUAUGAAUUUUGGGGAUUUUAGAACCCGAAACCCUAGCCCCCAACCCUCCUCUCCUCCUUGUCCAUUUGAGAGGUCGGCCAUCGUCGUCAUCGCUGCUGCCGAUCGCCGAAGAGGAAGAAUAGAAGUUUUUCUUCUUCUUCUUUCUCUUUCUCUCUCUCCAAUAUUGUGUGGUGUGGGGUGGAGGGAGCUCGAGCGCCCUAUCCCUGCACCGCCGCCGACCUAAACCGCUGCCGGCACCACCCCUCCACCUCAGGCGGUCGUUCGCGAUGCUUCUUCGAUGUCGCCGUGCCUUGGGAAGCGACCACGGCUUAAGAGGAGCUCUCCAGAGCCGCGGGGCCGUGGGGAGACACCCAGCCGCAGGCGUCGCGCCGUGCCGCGUCGCCUCUCGGUGACACCGGAUGUCUCAGGAAGUCCACUGGCGCCGCCCCUCGCCGUCCUGAUCUGCCGCUGCAAUGAUCCAUGAUGCCCUAGCCGCAGCUGUGUGGGGAGCUCUGUCACCGCGUCGCACCACACCGCCACUGCACGGCCCGGAUUACCACAUUUUCCUGGGCCAACAGACCUGCCCUAUACAAAAGAAUUUUCUCUGUAUACGAAGCGAUAGCUGUACCUGUACCUGUAAACAUACAAAACUACAACUAGUAGUAUAGAGCUGCUAAUAGAACUGUAAACAUAUAUAAAUAAACAUCAGGUUCACUAUGCAUAUAUAGUCUCCAAGAUACAAACAUCACUCGCUCCAGCAAGUGACUAACAUCAGUAUGUACAUGAACCAAAAAACCAAAACUACCUAUAGCUGGUACUCCUCUAGAACAGCAACAAGACUAGAAAGGAUCUAGCUCGCGACUUCUUUGUAAGGAAAUGUAUGCUUUUGCAUGUACAUUUAAUGCAGCGGAAAUAAAUUUAUUUAUAAAAUAUGAUCCAAUCAUGUAUACUUUAAUAUCAUAACAUUUAUGAUUGUAGUAUCCUUAUUUCUUUAUCUUUUCUUUUCCUUUUUCUUUUUAUUUCUUUUGAGUUGGUAAGCUAGCUGGGGAUAAGGAUGCCACGUGCACCUUACCCCCAAGCAUGCUUAUCACCUUAAUACUUGUGCAUAGUUUAUAUAUAUAGUUCUUGAGCCUCUACGCAUAUAGUUCUUGAGCCGUUCGUAGAGGAGGAGCUCGGGUGGUGUGGAGUUUCGUCGACGUCGCGCAGCGGUGCCGUUCGAGCGUGUGUUCAUCGUCGUAGCAUCGCGAGGGGGGGCCGGGCGAGGGUCCGAUUCCGCCGUUUUUGUUGUCGCGCCGGAUUGUGAUUAGCGUUUGAGGUGGGUUACAUCGGCUUUACUCCUAAGUUCUUAUUGGCCGACAUGUAUAGAUCUUGAUUUCGGUAAUUAAUUUAGCUCAAAUUCAUGGACUAUAUGUAGAUUGCGAAAUCUGAAUUUUGGAGCAUAUUUUAUAAAUUAAGUAGAUCAUACAUGUUGGACUUGGAAAUUGAAUUAGGAGAAAACCUGCGAUUUGGACCUGUCACCAGUUUUAACUACCUGAUUUAGCUCUAGGAGCCGUUAGAAAAUUGUACUGUCGCAGUUUCUUCGAGACGAGUACUCCAGGUAGUUUAGAAUGUAUUUACACUCGUGCUGGUUCGCCGAGUGGAUUUUUACAUCGGUCGUUCAGGUUGUUUCGGACUGUUGGGUGCCGUCAGAAUUGACGGUGGACCCGUAUCGCCUUUUUGCGUCAGACUGUGCCGAGGCACGUUACCUGUUGGUUGUUAAUCAGUUUGAGUCGAUUACUUAACUUUGGCUAGUUGGAGCCUGAUUGAGCUCGACAGAGAUACGCUGCAUACUCGGUUGGGUAGCGCCCACGAGUGCCACUCCGGAGUCAGGCUUGUGCUUUCGCGUUGGUGUCGCUCAUGCCAGUUGGACUUGCUCUCCACGGACCAGUUAGUGUGGAGGUAGCUGGACAGUCGCAACGGGCAGGAGACGGUGUAUUCACAGUCCCUGGGACAGGUAUGUUUACAGUCCCGAUUGGAUUGGGUCAAAUUGGACAAUUCCUGCAGUUGGUUAGUGUAGAGCAUGAUAGUGUAGUAAUUGAUAGCGGUAGAGUUUACUUCCUGCUUUUCUGACUACUCUUGCUCCCUUCUGUAGACUUAGUGGGUAGACCGAUGUUGUUUUGGGCGGCACCCACUGAGGACUACCUGUUUUUACAGUAGUUCUCACGCCCAGUUGUUACUCCUGUUUUGCAGAGCCACAGGUGCCGGCUGCUGCAUCUUCCGCCGACCAGGAUCGAGGCAAGGGCGUUGCGAGCUAGAGCCCUACCCGACUGACAGAGCUAGAGGCACCCUUACUGCAGGUAGAUGUUUUGUUUCGAGUUUGUGUACAUAGCUUGCUUAACUCGCCAGUGCGAGUAACCAUGUAUUUUGAAUUUGGACUAUGUAUAUGAAACUCAGUUGUUUAGCUUUGGUUUAUUGAGCAGCUCUAUACUACUGUUUGUAGUAUUGUAUAUCUACAGGUACUUUUGACGCUUCGUAUACAGGGAAAAUUCCUUUGUAUACGGCGGAUUUGUCGGCGUGCCCGGGGAACGAGACAUCCGGGGCGUGACAAUGAUAUUAGUAUAUAUAUAUAUGUACCAAGAUCAUUUCGUGUGACACACAAAAUUAUUAUUCUAAUCUAAUUAGAAGAAGGGUUUGAAUUUCAACCUAUGCAAAUUACUGAAAUUAUUUUGCGGUUCAUGUGGAUCUAAACUUCUGGUCCUUUGAGCCGCACAAGUGUUCGGCCUCUAUGUGUAUCCACACAAGGCUGCUCCGGGAUCUGUGCUUCACACAAUCACAGUGUAAUCUUGAAACUCCUUUCGAGAUCUCUUGUGUCAAUGUGGAGAAAAAUUAAUCCUCAAAAUUGUGCUAGUAAUUUGAAGAGGAUUAACUAUAGAGACCAAUUAAUAUAGAAGGACCGCUCUCUUAUAAUUAAAAGAGAGCUUUAUUUGGUUGGGUGAAUUUUCUCUCUUUCUCUUUAUGUGUUGUGUAUUAUCGAGAGAUAUUAUUCUCAACCUCUUUUAUAGGUAUAAGACCCCUAUAAAUGAAGCGAGAAUAAACUCUCAUUAUUUAAGAAUAUGGCAAGAAACAGAGUGAAGAGAAAAGAAAGAAAACCGCCAUCAUAAAUGAGAGGAAAGUAAACUCCUCUCAUUUAGUGACGAAGCGGAAAGAGGGAGUGGAAAAGGAAACGAAAACUCUUCUCCACUUAAUACGCCAAUUAAUACGGAGAAAAGUUUUCUUGUUUUAAUAAAUGUAUGAUACAUGGUUUUCUUUUCCUCUACCUCUCCUCUUAAUUAAAGAACCCAAAAAAGAGAGGGUCAUAAGUUUUCUGUCUCGUUUGUUGCAACUUUUGCAAUAAGUUCUUAUACUAAAUCAAAUUUAGUAUUAGGUCACUCCGUACAAAUUUUAUCCUUUCCAAUUAGAGUUUCUACUAACUACCUUAGCAAAUAAAUUCUUGCUUUGCUAUUUUAGCAAAAUAGUCUCUAUUAAUUCUCCAAGCACUAGAUCACACACAGCCUUUAUUGUGUGUGACCACAUAGGUUCAAUUCUACUUAAUAGUGAGAUGUGACACUAAACUCUUUUAAUGCCACCAUCAAAACUCUUUUCGAUGGACCAAAAUAUUUUUGGUUCUCCCAACUGAGUGUAAUUAACUAUCUUAAUUACUCUUAUGAGUUCCAGAAUCCACGAGUGACACCUAGCAGUAUAUCGCGGCAAUCCAAGUAGAAUUAAUAAUAGACAGAACCUUUAGGUGUAGUUACCGUGUGAUAAAAUCCUUCUAUCACUUGUCCUGAUUGAGUCGAGGUUAUGGAUAACUCGUCAAAUCCCAUUAUUCAAUCAUAUGUCUCAUCUGAUUAACAAAUAUGGAAACUCCUUUCUAUAAAAUCACACUGCCUUGGCCAAGAACUUUUAUUUCUUAUAAAACAGAUAGUAUAGGACAAUUAUCUCUCUACCGAGGGUGAUAGAUUCCAUCUUGACACACACCUACCUCCACGUAUGACCCACUGCAAUCAACAUGUGUUGACUUAACCCAUGAUUAGGGUAUAAGUAUUUACACAUUCAAACUACAAUAACCCACAUGCAAGAUAACUGUAGUGCCUCAGGUCAAAGAGUCACUCACACUCUUACAGUAUGGAACAAUUCACUGACGAGUGAGUAGACAUCCAUGUGAUUGUUUAUAGUUGGUCACGCUCAGUGAAAUUGUUCUCCAACAUUCACCUGUAUGCUUACUCUAGUGUCACCAUACUAAUGACUUAAGACUCGUCAUCCCAUAAGGGAAGUACAGCAUACACUGAUCUAUUCGGAUUUACCACCGCCCUCAUGAUAAUCCUAUGAUCAGGAGCAUUUAAGAAUUAAUUACAGAAGAAUAUAAGUGUCAAAUUUCUAACUUCUUAGAAAUUUAAUUCUUCUACUAUUAAUUCUAUGGACGAUUCAUAAAUAUGCAUUUGGCAAUAAUAUGAAUGAAGAAUGCCAGAUUUAAUCAUAAAAGAAAAGUACACUGAUAUUAAUCCUUUAAGUUAUGACAUGAUUGGCUUAUAGGGCAUAUAACUAACAUCCCUCUCCACGAUCCAAAUCAGCAAUAGCAGUAGCCGCGGACGAACGCUCUGCAAAAGGGUCAACAAUUGUGGUGUGAGAACUACUGCAAAAAGAAGUAGUCCUCAGUGAGUACCGCUACCGUCCUCAACGCUCACCCACUAAGUCUACAGAAAGUAUGCUCAAGGAUAGUAAGAAAGCUGAAAAAACUCUACAGCUAUAUGCCAUUAUACUAUCGCUAACCACACUAGCUAUCUGAUAGAUAUAAGCAAGAUGCAAUUUCUGACCUAAUUCAUUAGGGACUAUGAACACACCCGCCGCUUGUCGAAGCUACACCAACCACCACCACGCUGGGUUGUGGUGUGAGAGCAAGUCCAACUAGGACACUACGAUAAUAACGCAAAAGCACUAAGCCCGACUCCGGAGUAGGGCUGUAAACGAGCCGAGCUCGAGCGAGCUGGAGCCAGCUCGAGCUCGGCUCGUCAUCUUCAAGAUGGCUCGUGUUCGGCUCGAGUGUGACGGGCUCGAAAACUUUGGCUCGUGAUCGGCUCGAAACUUAAUCGAGCCGGCUCGUGUUUGGCUCGUUAGCUCGAGCUCGUGGGCACACCUCGGCAGCGAUUCUUCGCUCCUCGACAUCCUCCCAGCCGCCGAGCUCGCCGUGGCUGAGGACGUACGCGACCUCGUCGACCUUGCGCGGCGCCAGUGCUGCGCUCGACCUCGCCCCGACCCGCCGGAGACGCGCACCGCUCGAGGUCCUGAAGCUGAUCCGCGAGAUCGAGAUGGAGAUCGUCCCCGACCGCGCGUGCUCGCCGCGAUCUUCGAGCCUGAGAUAGAGAAAGAGGGAGGCGGUCGUGUGCGGUGCUUGUGCGAGCCUGAGAGAGAGAAAAGAGAGAGAGUUGGGUGUGUCAUGUGUGUGUGGCUGUGUCACCUGUAUGUGCGGCUGGUGUGUGGGGCAGUGUGAAAAAGAUGGAAAAAUACUAAUUAGGGUGUGGGACUUAAAAAAAAAAUAUUGGUACUUAUUUAUGGAUCUAUGGGCCAUGAAUGGAAAUAAAAACUUCUAUAUAUAAAUGGGCUUAUGGGCCUUUUUAUAAAUAAGCUAAUUUUUUUAAAAAACUGGACUAAAAAUUUAAAUUAAUAAUCUGUAAUAUAUAUAUAUAUAUUUAUAAUACAAAUAUAAUAUUAUAUAUAUAUAUAUAUAUAAAAUUAUAUUAAUAUAAAAUAAAUAUAAUCGAGCUGUUAUCGAGUCGAACACGAGCGAGCUGACCCUAGCUCGUGUUCGGCUCGUUUAUUAAACGAGCUGAAAAAUCCAGCUCGUGUUCGGCUCGUUUACUAAACGAGCGAGCCUGUCACGCCCCGAGCCGCCUCUUUGGUCGGAUUCGGGCACGCAACAGACCGCCGAACGGACAGGGUUUCCCCUGCACGCGGACAGAGUCUCCCUAUACGUUCAAGGCGUCACAAUCAAUACAAUUACAGAGGUUCCAAACAGGAACAAUUUCAACAACGAUUGCUUAAGGAAGGUAUCAAACACAUAACACAUCCUAUGUUAUUACAAUCAUUCAUCUCAUCACUUUACAUCGCAUUUUUCAUUACAUUGAUCCUCAACUUCCAAAUAUACAAUCGAUUUCUAAAUAUAAUAUUACAACAUCGAUUCUUUCUUUUCUUUUCUUAUACCCCUAAGAAGCCGACUCAGGGUGCUGCUAUCUGGUCUCGUGUAGGGCGCUAACUACGGAGCUACGCCCUUUCCUCGCGCGCGCCGCGCCGCUCGCGUGUGAACCUGUACCCCCAAAACAACACACGGGGGUGAGCUAUUGUCCAUAGUCGUCGUCAGUGAGUACAGCCACCCAAGGGAAGGGCUCAACCCAUCAGGUCCAAAGAGGCACGUGCCAACAUGUUAGUCCAACAGAUAUAUACAUAUAACAUCAUGCAAUACAUGUUCAUGCUCACAAAUAUGCAAAUUAUGCAACUCUUAGUCAUUCUUUACCAUUAGCCUUUCUUUAGAAUAUGCAAUUCUUUAUCAUUAGCCAUUCUUUAUUCUUUAAUCUUUAUUCUUUAUUCUUUAUUCUUUAUUCUUUAUUAUUUAUUCUUUAUUCUUUAUUCUUUGCUAAGGGCACUCGCACCUUAGGCGCAUUAUACACAUUUGCCAUUCUUUAUAACAUUAACAAACGUUUCUCAUUGGUCAUUCUUUCUCAAUUGUCAUUCUUUCAUAGGGUUACCUUUACCCUAGCCAACUAUGCCACUCGACUCGGUCUUGAGUCAAUUCAUAAUGAAUACAAGAUCCACUUUCCAAUUCAUGAUUCCUUUUUGUUCUUUGUUCUUUAAUCUCACGGCUAACCCGGGGUUUCGCCACAUUAACUUGCUUACAUUAAGUCCAUCAUCGCAGGAACUCACCAGCUAGGACCGUCCUUCGCGGUUUACUCCAACCCGUGAUGCAAAACUCCGGAGCGCAUUGCCGAGCGGGGGCGACGCGCCCUCGAGCACGGAACUCAUAGCAAGUAUGAUCAUAUCCUUAACUCAAAGGAUUUGUAGUUGAAUCAUGGCUUUACACUAACUUUAGUGUUCUUUACAUCACAUUAGUUGCUAACUCUAGCAAUCAUUGUUCUUUACACCCCACUUGUCAAUUACUCUAGUAAUUGUCAUUCUUGAUACCACACUUGUUUUUUGUUGCCACGCACUAACUCUAGUGUGCUUCAUGUCACAUUGGUUGCUAACUCUAGCCUUAUCAUUGUUCUUUACACUUUGCUUGUUCUUUAUGCCACAUUACUUUACAUCACCUCUAGCCAUUAUCAUUAUUCUUUACAUCACAUUGCUUUGCCUUGCCUCAAGCCAUUAUCAUUAGGUUCUCACAUUAAAUCUCAUGCAUACACAUAGAUUAUUUAGAUUCUUAAUCAUUCUAAUAAGCACGUGUACUCACAUCAUGCAACAUUACAUUAUUAUCAUCACAUUAUUUUACAUUAUCUUUAGCCAUUAUCAUUAUUCUUUACAUCACAUUUAUUCUUUGUUGUCCCACACUAACUCUAGUGUCACUUUACCAUUUCGAAUGCCACUCGAUCUAUGUUCAACAUGCAUAUAUUUUGUCAUCCAUUGAUGUCUAUUACUUAGCAUUUUAUGCAUUCGUUAACAUUUACUACAUACAUUCUUGGUUAGUACAAAUCUCAUACUUUCAUUUGACAUCUAUUUAGCAUUUCUAUAAUAUGCAUAUGUAAUUAACAUCAACUCAUGCAUUCAUUUGGCAUCUAUCUUUAUCAUGCAUUCUUAAAUAGCAUACUUUAUCAUGCAUCUUCCAAAUAGUAUACUUUAUCAUGCAUCAAUAGUAAUGUCACGCCUGGAUUACACUUUCCCGGCGCGCGCCGACAAAUCGCCGUAUACACAGGAAUUUCCCCUGUAUACGAAGCGAUAGCUGUUCCUGUAAACAAACACUACUACGAACAGUAGUAGAGAGCUGCUAGAGAAAACAGAAGCUAAACAAACUGAGUUUCAUAUACAUAGUCAAAUCCAAAUACAAAGCUACUCGCACUAGCGAGUUAAGUCCACUAUGUACAUAAACUCGAAAUAAAACAUCUACCUGCAGUAGGGGCACCUCUAGCUCAGCACGUCGGGAAGGCGUCUAACUCGCGACGCCUUGCCUCGAUCCUGACCCGCGAAGGCGCAGCAGCCGAAACCUGUGGCUCUGCAAAAACAUAGGUAACAACUGGGCGUGAGAACUACUGUAAAAACAAGUAGUCCUCAGUGGGUACCGCCAAAACAACAUCGUCACCACAUAAGUCUACAGAAGGGAGACAAGAGUAGUCAGAAAAGCAGGAAAUAAACUCUAACCGCUAUCGAUCCCUACACUAUCAUGCUCUACACUAACCAACUGUAGGAAAUGUCAACUCUGACCCAAUCAAUCGGGACUGUAAGCAUACCGUCCCGGGACUGUGAAUACAACCCGUCCCUGCCCCCGUUGCGACUAUCCAGCUCUAUCCACGCCAACUGGUCGUGGAGAGCGAGUUCAACUGGCAUGAGCGACACCAACGCGAAGCACAAGCCUGACUCCGGAGUGGCACUCGUGGGCGCUAACCAACCGAGUAUGCAGCGUAUCUCUGUCUGAGCACAAUCAGGCUCCAACUAGCCAAAGUCAAGUAAUCGACUCAAACUGGUCUAACAACCAACAGGUAACGUGCUCUCGGCACAAUCUGACGCCAAAAAGGCGAUACGGGUCCACCGUCAACUCUGACGGCACCCAACAGUCCAAAACGAUCUGAACGACCCUGUAUAAAUCCACUCGGCGAACAAGCACGAGUGUAAAUACAUUCUAAACUACCUUGAGUACUCAUCUCGAAGAAACUGCGACAGUACAAUUUUCUAACGGCUCGUAGAGCUAAAUCAGGUAGUUAAAACUGGUGACAGGUCCAAAUCGCAGGUUUUCUCCUAAUUCAAAUUCCAAGUCCAACAUGUAUAAUCUAUUUACUUGAUAACAUAUGCUCGAAAAUUCAGAUUUUACAUUCAAACAAUAAUCCAUGAAUUUGAGCUAACAACUAUUGUAGAAAUCACGAUUUAUACAUGUCGACUAAUAAACACUUAGGAGUAAAGCCGAUGUAACCCACCUCGAGAGCAAAUUCCUAGCAGCAAGGAACUCCCUCAGCUGCGGCACAACCUGCUGGAUCGACUGAAAAUGUCCGAGUCUCAAAAUCGAGCUAUCUCCAAGCUAUCAACAUCAAAAUCCACAAUUCAGUCCAAGUACACAGCAGCAGAGAAGGGAAGGGUUUCGACCAAGCUAACCUUCACCAAAAUCCACAAGUAAGGACUUCGUGGAUUCCUCUCGCAGUCCCGAAACCAACGAAUCAAGUCUUGUCGAAAUCCGAUGCUCCUACGUCGAGUACGAGCUGAAAUACUAACAGUCGACGAUGAAAUUCAGCAAAACAACACUUAAGCUUAAAUAUCUCAAUUCCAAUGUCAAAACUCACCUAACGAUCUCCAAAUCGGGUGAGGACAGUUCCAAAUCCAGCAAAUACUGAGGGGUGAUCAGUCUCAGGACUAAAAUCCCACUGCCUACAAAGUUAGCAUCAAGAAAAGCUCAAAAAUCCAAUUUUCAGCUCAAAACCAACAGCAGUCCAGAAAAACCUCAAUUCGACCAAGCUAACCUCAACCAAAAUCUGCAAUUUAGGGCUUCGUGGAUUCCUCUAGAAGUUUAGAAUCCAGCAAACCAAGUUUCGUUGAAUUCCGAUCUUCCUACGUCGCGCACGAGCCAAAACACUGGAGGUCGUCGCUGAAGAACUGCAGAAUCAGCAUUCCAUCAAUCUGGAUCAUGGAAGUUUGAUGCAAAUUGAGGUAAAUCUGAGUGUUUGAGAUGCUAAGGGGACUUCUCUGUGAAGAAUGGAGGAAAAGAGCUCACCAGGGUCACUUUCCAUCUAUUUAUAGGCUGCUUGGAAGAUAAAAUAAGCCCCAAGAGAAACAGCUGCAAUCCAGUGCCCCUGCAGAAACGGGCGUUUCUGGGCGCCCGGAACCAUGUUCUGGGCGACCAGAACAUCCCGACUGCACAAACCGGGCUCCUCGGACUCUCCGCUCGCGGUGCGCUGCGCCCGUAAACGGCUCCGGCGGAACUCACCUACCACCCUGCCACGCGUCGAAGCAAGCGAUAUUCACGAUGUCAAAUUUUCGGACCCAGAUCUGGGCGCCCGGAACAUGGGAUCCGAAUUGGCUUCCAGUUUCAGUUAAAUUCAACACUCGUUUCUGGGCGACCCUAACAAUGUUCUGGGCGCCCGAAUCUGGCAAAACUCCAGUUUUGCUUAUUUGAGUGCGCCGAGUCCAAUUCUGCAUCCAAUUCGUGCAGAAUUUACUCCAACUCAGUCCGACACUCUCCAGAGAUGUCGACCAGUCUAUAAUACUGAAGCCAAUCCUAUCCAAAGCUCAGGAACACUACAAGUAAACAUACUACACUUUGGCAUGGAAAGCGACCUAAUCGCUUCGGUGAGCACAACCCACCUCAAAACGCUUUCCGAUUGCUUGUCGACACUUGCAAUCGGCCUCCCGCGGCACCCGUGACCCGGUUUGGCCCGAACUAUUGCGCGACCACCCGAACGGCCACCAAUUCGCGAUCCGUCUAUUUGGGAGUUUAUUCCCCGACACCACGAUGCUCCCGAUCCAUUUUCAUGAUUUUUGGAGGCUUAUCCCGCGUGCUGCGGCUAUCUGUACCAAAACAGAUUGUUUCGUCAAUAACUUUGCGUACACUCGUCGGAUUGUCGAACCGAGCGCACCAACGCGUUCGUUAUACCCCCAAUUAGGUUUAUAAAGGGUCAAUUGAGAUCAAACUCAACUAUUUACAAAAAACCCCUUUUUGGAGCCCUAGAUGCUACUCUAGCAAAAUCCUCCAUUUCGUCUCAUGAAUCAAGCAUGGUUCAUCUAUUUAGCAUGCUAGGAUUUCAUUAAAAUCAUCUUUAGAGUAUAAGAACUUAACCCUAAAGAUCUACCAUUAAAGCUCCAAGAAGCUUACCUCAAGAAGCUUGCUCCAAGGUGAAGAAGAAGAUGAUGGAGGGAAGCUCUCCACUUGCUUCACCUUCUUUUCCCCUUUCUUCAUCUUCUUUCUCUUCUUCUUCUUCUCUUCUCCUUUCCUUUCUAGAGAGAGAGAGAGAAGGCUUUUGGUGUGGGAGAGUGAGAGAAAUGAGAGAAAGAGAGAAAGGGUCCUCUCUAUACACUCUCAUAAGUGCCAUUUUGCACUUAAGCCCUUCCACAAUGCUUCUCUCGCAACAGCCCGAACUGGGCAUUUUCGGGGUUCGGGGACCGGUCCUGGCGAUGAGAGACCGGUCCCUGAGAGACCGGUCCUUGACUGAGAGACCGGUCCCCGAAGGUCCAGAAAUCAGCCUUCAAGGACUUAGCCAAAUUUUCAGCUUUUUCACCGUUUUAGCUCCGUUUUCGCUCGUUUUUGCUCGUUUGACCUCCGAUUCAUUUCAAAUCGAACCGGGACUCUCCAAACAUGUUUUCCAACAUGUUUUCAUCAUCUUUCCACCCACGCUAAUGCCGGAUUUAACUCACGGUUCAACAUAGCCUUUCGGCUCCGUUUUCGCGCCCUAUGCGCACCGAAGCACCCGAGUGCUCCCGAACUUUGCCGGGACAAUUCCAACGGCUGUCUAAGCUAACUUACAUCGUAACUCUAUGAAUUUAGAAGUUCGGUAUAUUACAGAGCCGAUCUCGAGCUCAUUUCGAGCCGAACACGAGCUGGCUCGCGAACAGCUAGCUGGAUUGCCACCCCUACUCCGGAGUGGCAUUAGUGGGCGUUACCCAACCGAGCAUGCAAGCGUGUCUCUGCCGAGCUCAAUUAGACUCUCAUAGGCUAUAAUCAAAAUAAAUGGCUCUAACUGGUCUAACAACCAAAAUUCACGUGCCCUUGGCAUAAUCUGAUGCAAAUACAGAAAUCUGGGUCCACCGUCCACCGCGACGGCACCCGACAGUCCGAAACAGUCUACACACUACUGUAAAAAUAAACUUGGCAUCCCAGCAUGAGCGUAAACUCAUCCUACACUAAUCUGGAUAUCCACCGCAUACAAACUGCGACGAUACAAACAAAUAAUAGCUCCUAAAGCUAAAUCUUAUAUUUUUCAGAAAAUGACAAUGUAGGAUCUAUAGUUUUCUCCUAAGUUAAUUCUAAGUCCAACAUGUAAAACAAAUCUAGCAUUUAAGGCUCCAAUUUAGAUUUUAUUAAAAGCAAUGCAAAUCGGCGAAUCGAGCUACUAACAUGAUAUACUACACAUGAAGUUUAUAUGCUGACAACAACUAGGCUUAAGAGGAAAUCCGAAGACUUCGGUAAACUUCAACCCACCUCGAAACGCUAAUCCAACCAUGGUGAGAAGUCGAGAGAAGGGAAAACAUGCGCUCAUCUGGCCUACAACGGCGCAACUGCGACGUCCACACGCUCGAACGGCUCUUCGGCACAACGUCGAUGUCGAUCCGAGCUCAAGCCGUCGUGGCCUCCACCAAGCAUAUAAUUAACACUUGAGAGAGAGAGAAACAUAAUUAAACAAGCUACUCUCCCUCAGGUGGAUAAAUACGAGGGAGAGUUGGUGGUGUGGAUAACCACCAACCAAAAUGACAUCCAUGCCCCUCACCAACUCAAUUUACAGCUGGGGUACCGAUACCAGCCCGAUUCCGUACCGAUACUCAGCAUCAAUUAUCGCAACCCGAGAGCAGCAGUUCGAAAAAUACACUGGGGUACCGGUACUCCCCUGCAUAGUACCGGUACUCAAUACUGAAACCCACACUUCGCAGAUUUCAAUAUCAAACUCUGCUCUCGCGUCGCACUGAGUCCGUUUUGCGUCCAUUUCGCGCUAAAACGACUCCGACUUGUCCCAACACUCUCCAGAUGUGUCGACAAGCCUCAGAUGCUGAAAUCCACGGGCAACUAAACAUUAGGGGUACUACAGCCACAGCCUCCCGUUGCCUCGGGUCUCCUUCGCCGCCUCUCUCUAGCUGUUGCGACCCGCCGCCGCUGCCUCGUGGCACCCCCGACCACCGCUGCCGCCGUUGAGCUCUAUGAACCCGAGCUCAUGCCACCCGGGCUAUACGACUUGAGGUGUCGCCGUCGCUGCACUCCGUCACCUGCCGAGGGGAGCACGGGGCUUCCUUCCCUCUCCGCGUCCGAUCCCCGUCGUCUCAGGCGCUAGCAGGUCGCAGGCAGUCGGCCGGAGCCCCUGCUCCCUACCCUAACUUUAUUUAGUGCCGGUGACUUGAUUGGUGUUUCUCGAUCAUCCGGCGCUUCCCCAUCAAUCCGAAAGUGAGCAUGGCGAUGCUCGCGACUUGCUGAACACGGUGCUCACCUACAUUACUGUCGGUGACCCUCCGUCGCUGAGUUUCGACUUUUCGGCUUCCAUAAGCAUGUCGUUGGAGAGGUUUUUCUACUGUUUCGAAGCCGUCUGGUUGUCGAUCAUGCUCCGAACAGUGAGCACGAGGAUCCUUGCGUCGAGACAAGUUAAAUCGACUGGUUGGAUUGAUUCGCUGUGAUGCGGAUCAGGAUAACAAGCUCGAAACUUAUGUUUUAUGCAUUAUUUGUAUAGUGGUUGUUGCUUUGUUAGGUUAAUUGCAAAUAGUAUGCUAUGGGGACCCCGCCCACAGCCUCGGACAGCAUGUCAUCACUGUUGACGACCUCUAGACUGAUCGUCAAAGGUCCGGGUGGAAAUAGGGUUCCACAGCGUUGUUUGGCAGAAAUUCAUCGAUCGGACACGAUUUAUGUUGCGAUUUUCGUACAUUGGUCAUUUGAAUGCCCUGGAGACCCCAUCAAGUCUUGUUGGUUGAUUGCUACCGCCAUCUUCGAAGUUCAGAGGUGGUGGAUGAGCGGCAGAGGGGUUUCGAUGCGUUUUUCGGCAAAAUCACCGAUAGAACGUGAGUUUGCAUCGUGAUGAGUUUUCGGCUACGUGGUCACCCGGGGAAUCAUCGCCUAACCCCGUUGGCUGGCCGCCAGGGUUGCCUCGUGUUUUCGAAGGCGACAGGUGAGCGGUGGAGGCUUCCGGUGCCAAAGUGGACACUUCCGGAAGCCCAGAGCAAAUUAGUCGACCGAUAAUGAUCUAGUUGACCUUGGUGCUUGUGUUCACUGCCUGGACGCUCAAAUGGAUGUGUUUCAGGGCAGUGAACAACUCACGGCAUGAGUUGGUGUGUUUCGGAAAGUUUCGUGGGUCUUGGGGGCAUCCCGGUGCGUUUUUGGGAUUCCCGACGAGUUUCGGGAAUCGGUUUUGGAAAACUAAUCCCACGGAUGGUUUUGGGUUUGUGAGCAUUGUGUUUUGAGUUACUUGGAUCAGAUCCUGACUCGGUGGACCUAUCGUAGGUCCGGUCGACAUCCCUCGUCUCGCAGGAGCUAGCCGAAGCGACGGACACAGGUGGGUACUUCGAUCCGAAGUCGGUUCAGUGGUGCACAUUCGGUGAUAUUCCUUUCAUUUCUAUCCUUUAUUGCUUACAUAUACUUGUCUAUCCAGUACUAGAGGCUUUCACCAUAUGACUUCGAGCUUGCUCUACGUAGUGUAUUCUCUCUUGCAUUCAUGACUUAGAGUAGACCGGUAGUGAUAUUGAUAUACAUCUUCUAGUUGACUUGAGUGGUUGGUGCCUGCAUACCCAUGUGACAUGGACAUCAUACCUACUAGUUGGCCUGAGUGGUCGGUACUUGCAUACACUUGAGAGUAUGUUGAGUUGUCCUAUCCUAGUUGACUUGAGUGGUCGGUACUCGUAUUUCCUUACAGUUCAAUAACCUAUUGGUCAGUGUGCCCCGAGGGGCGGAGAUUGUCAGCCAUUCGCCGACGGUUGACUAUUGAUCAUAGUCGCAUCAAUGGCCACAGCUCGACAGCAUUUCAUGAACAUCAGCGGUCUGAUCUCUCGCGGGAGGGUGUUAUUUUUCGGAAAAGUGGUUGGUUGCCAAUCUGUGAGCCCAUAAGCUUAUGCUAGGAUUAUAUACCAUUUAGAGCGGCCUGGCACUUGCCUGAGGUCCUUAAACCGACACGGCGGCAUAGAUUGGGUACAUUUGGACUUUUCGUCUAGUUGACGCAUAUAGCUACAGUAGUGAUUGUUGCAUGCUUACUUACAGUUCUUAUAUUCUUUACAUUUACAUUGCUACUGUAGGCCCUUUUUUACCUAUAUUUGGUUACCAGUGAGUACAAUUGCUUUCGUCGGCUUGCGGUACCCACUAGGAGGGGGAGACGUGUUUACAUAUUCUCACCCUCCACUAUUUUUCAGGUGACGCGGAUGAGAUUGGUCGGGACAUAGCGUGAGGCCAUAGCUAGUGCGCGGUUAUAGAGGUCUCAAUCUAUGGUAUACGUUCUGGAUUAGUUCAUACAUAGUAUUAGACAUAUAUGUGAUAGUAUAGUUCACCUCUACACCUGUUAGCAGAUGAUACAUGUAGUUCAGUUAAUACGUUAUAUUUGCAAGUUUUUGGAUGAUAUAUUUAUGAGCUUUUGAUAUGCAUGGUUUUGAAAUUUCCGUGCCUUUUAAACAUUUGUGGUUUUGGACUCAGUUUUCGAAUGUUGGUUUUCUACUUCUCGUGGUAGCAUUUUCAAAAUAAAGGCUCCUGUGUGGGGAACGGUUUCAAAUAGUUUUUUGUGGCUUUUCGAAAGUUAGAAUUUCAAAUAAAGUUUUCGAUUGGGAGACAUUUGGAACUAAUAAGAUAUAUGCUAAUGAACGUGAAUGGAUGUGACUAAAAAUCGUUAGUUGUAUGAUGUGAAAUUAGUGAUUCUUGUACAUCUUGUAUCAUUGUGUGUGCGAGUGAAAGUCUGAUUGUUAAUUAUUUUCUAAAUUUCUUUUCAUAUUUUUUGUUUUAAGAAACCAAACAGUUUCAAAGUGAAAUUUAAAUGAUAGCAUAAAUACCACAAAAAAAAAAAAAUCAUAAUCAACUCAUGAUAUUACAUUAAAAAAAAAAAAUUAUCUUUUUACCAUACUUUUUAAUUACACCUAACAUGACACAAUCUGUUUGUAAUCCUACGAGAGCCUAAAAUAGGUUAGUGUCUUGAUGAGUUAAUUAAUUAAUUAAUUAAUUAAUUUUAAAUAUUUUUUAUGAAAAACGUCGCAGAUAAAGAGCUCAUUUCGUAGUUGGGCUUUUUUAUAAAAUGACCCUCCAAAAAAUUGAAAUUGGCAAAAUGACCCUGUAAAAAUUUUAUUUGUAAAACUAACCCUCCUUUCGCCACGUGGGUACCACGUCAGGAUUUCCUUACAAAGACGGUGAAUCGUUCGCCGUUUUCUCCCACUUCUUUUAAAGGCGGUGAAUCGUUUCCCGCUUUUAUCCAUUUCUUUUAAAAGCGGUGAAUCGUUCACCGCUUUCUCGUAUUUCUUUUAAAGACGGUAAAUCGUUCACCGCAUUUAUUAAAAUUGUGCGUGAAUUAUAUAGGAAAUAGAAAAAAGUGAGGUUGUUAGGAUUAUAUGUGGAUCAUUAGAAUUUUUAUUUGAUUAUUAGGAUUGUAUAGAUAGAUUAUUAGGAUUUUCAGGCUGUUAAGAUUAUAUGAAAUUAUAUGGAUAAAUUAUUAGGAUUUAAAGGUUGUUAAGAUUAUAUAUGAUUUGUUAGAAUUUUUAUGUGGUUGUUGGGAUUAUAUAUGGGAUAUAAAAAAAAAUAGUGAAUAAGUGAAAGGCGGUGAAUGAUUCACCGUUUUUAAAAGAAAUAGGAGAAAGCGGUGAACGAUUCACCGCUUUUAAAAGAAAUGGGAGAAAGCGGUGAACGAUUCACCGCCUUUAAAAGAAAUUCUGACAUGGCGCCGACGUGGCGAAAGGAGGGUUAGUUUUCCAAAUAAAAUUUUGAGAGUGUUAUUUCACAAAUUUCAAAAUUUUAGAGGGUUGUUUUAUAAAAAAGUCCUCGUAGUUCUCCGCAUUCUUUGUUUUGUUUUGUUUUUUGUUUUUUUUUGUUUUAGUUUUUUGGUUUUUUUUUUCGUGUUUUUUUUUUGUCCAUCGGAGUCGAGGGUGAGGGCGAAUCGGGCGAGGCGCUCGCCGGCGCGGGUGCCGCAGCUCGGGUCUCGCUAGGGCAACGCUCUCUCUCUCUCUCUCUCUCUCGUCCACGGCGACGGUAUCGUCGUCGUCGUCGGCGAGGGGCUCGUCGGCGCCGGCGAGGGACUCGUCGGCGGCGAGGGGCCUCGCUUGAGAAAGGGGGCUUAUUCUUCGUCUUCGUCGUCGUCGUCGUCGUCGAUCGAGCGAGAUAGGAGGGAGAGGCGAAGUCGAAGGGCGACGAGAUCUCUUCUCGAUUUCGGGUGAGUCUGUUGCCUCGCGUGAUCUGAUCUGAAUCUUGGAUUAUGAAAUUGUGAUCGUUUAUGCAAAUUGUGUGCUGAAUAAGUAAUCCGGGGUUUAUAAUGCUGAUGAAGGUAAUACUUCCUUUUGGAUUGGUUAAUUUGGUGGUUCGUUGCGGAAGCUUGUAAUGUUGUGUUGAUGUAGUCUCAAUUUGAUAUCAUGCUUAUUAGCUGGUAAUGGAGAGAGAAGUUAUGACAUGAUUUAGUAUCUAGGUAGUUGCAAGAUCAGCCUCUUCGCUAGUUUAAUUGUGUCAUUUGCUUUGAAAAGUAAUAAGAGAUACAAAAUAUUGGUUAAAGCAUAUUAGAUAAAGUUUUAGUAGUAUCUCAUCUUUUAAGAAUUUUCGAGAUGCUUUCAAGAAGAAGAUUCAGCACUAAGAAAUGGUACCAAAUGUAUGUUUGACUCGUUUUCAAGAAGAAGAAGCAACCAUGGCCUGACAGUAUCAGCUUGAAAAUGGUUGAUCAGUUGCAUCGUUUUAUUGAUCUACCAUUGCCAAACUUUGUGCCAUGAAGUUAUCUUUCUUCAGUUGUUCCGGCACCAACCCUUUUAGUUCUUGUUUUAAAGAGUCAUGCCACCAUGUGAAAACAUCGGGAAACUUGUAAUACUUGCCAUUAAGGACAAUGAAGUUGGUAGAUGGAUUUCUUGCACAAGGAAUUCGACUUUGUACGUUUUGACUUUAGGACGUUGCUAAACAUAUUCGUUGUAAUUGAAUAUCGAGAUGAUCAUAUGGUAGGUACAAGCAAAUGACAACAUCAGUAAAGUGAUUUUGAACUCAAAUUAAUUACCUUCGCAUCAGUUACCAAUUGAGGAUGUCAGCAUGAAAGCUUGUGGAACCUUUAGGAGACCCAGGACCACAUGCAACAUGUGGAACCUUCUCUUUUGAUGGUCCGAUGUAAUAUAAAUUAGGUUGUGUGACUCGUAGUUUUCAUGUAGGAAACAUCCAGUUAUGUAUGUUGAUGAGAGAUCAUAUUUUUACCUAUAAAAAUGAUCUUCCUUCAAGUUUUGAGGCUCUUUUACGCUUUGAACAUGAAAGGUUUCUACCAUGCUUGGUCUUUGUAUAACAAGGGCAUCUUGUGGAAAGUCAUGCAAUUCGUCUUCUUAACGUUUUUACAAAAUCUAUUUGGUGGAAUAUGGAAUGUGUAUAAGUUUUUGACCAUCAAGGCAUAUUGAAUGAAAACAAGGUGAUAUUAGUAUCUUCUAACAUGUUAGUUGAUGUUUCCCAGUGGUUUAUGUAGCAUAAGAUUUAAAUUGCUCAGCACAAUUAGUGGUGACUUAUAGUUUGGUUAGUUUUUUAUAAUGCUCUUCAUGCUUCGUCUUAGGCAUUUUUUACUUACUAUCACCAUAUGUAGUUUGAAGCAAAGCAAUAUGUUGCCUGAGCGGUUAGAAUAGGCUUUGAUCGAGGCGAAAUAGACUGUGAUUGUCGUCGCUUCAAUCUAAGACUUUGAUCAACCUCGUGCAGUAUAUGAAUGGUUUGACAAUUAGAAACAACUUCAUCAAAACUGAAUAGGAUAUCUUUCAUACAAACCUUAACUUUCAGCUGUACAUCGAAUUAGGCAACUGGAAAUUCAUUAAUAGUGCAUAGCUUCAAAUAUGAAACCUCAUUGUGGCAUUGGGGGGAUUGUCAAUAACUAGAGUUAUAAUGUAGUUAUGGAAAAACUGGAUGUUGACCCAAUGUGCGAAUUAUCAAACUGUAAGAUGUACGCCAAUGACGAUUUUUACAAUGUUGUGGUGGUGCAUGCCAUCCAUAGCUGCAACCUGUAGAGAUGUGCACUUGGUGGCUAGUUGAAACAAUCACCUUUUGGCUAUGACUACGGGAGGGUUGACUAGUGAAGUUUUUAUAUUUCAAGUUGUCAUGAUAUACCUUUCCUAGUUUGGUUUUGUCAUAUUUAAGUUUUAUCUUUCUAUGCAGCAAUAGUUACAUUCGGGUUAGACAUUAUCAAGGGCAUAGAUGAUUCAUAAACAAAAAUUGCCUCUCUCCCUCUCUCUCGUCCUUCUCUCCUCUAUUUCAAAUUAAGCAAACUUUUUAAUUCUUAGUUGAGCAACUCUUAAAGGAAGCUCGUAUGAUUUCUGCCAAUAAUAUUACAUAAUCCAAACUAAGAAAAUGCAUUCUUAAUUUUGUUGUCAUUGGAUUAAUAAAGUGAAAACGAAUUCCAAUCUCCUUUUGCAAUGAAAGUUGCUUUAGAUAUUAACAUUAUGAUGGAAUAUAUUUGCUUGAAAAGGAGUACUUCUUUUGGAAAAGGUAGUAAAAGUUGGAAGCACAAUAAUGAUAUAUGUAGAAUCAUAGAUGAGGUCAUGGGCAUACAUGGGAGGUGACAAGUAAUGACAAUAUGAGGAGUGGUAAGCAAAUUUCCUAUCACGAAGGGAUUACACCAGGUUUCAACGUAAAUCCUUAAUUUUGGUGUUGAUCAUGGAUGAACAUACUACGCAUCUGUAGAAUGCACAUAUAUCUAUUUUUGUUGAUGAUGUCUUCAGUUGAUGGUCAGGAGUUGCUAAGAGAAAUUGUUGUUAUUGUAGUGAUUGUUCAAUUGGAAGGACAGAUAGAAGUUAAUAUUAUUCACAUUAUUGAAGUAUGAUAUUGAAAGUUGAGGCUAAGUUCUUGUUGACAUCCUUCUAUACUUACUGAGCUAUAGAGCAACUUAUUGAGAAAAUCGGUGUUGUUGAGGAAUCAAGCCAGAAUGCUUUUAGAAUCAAGCCAGAAUGCUUUUAGAAGCAUUAGAGUGUUGGUGCUUCCACUUUUUUACAAGUCGGAUGCAUAUCAUUAUUGAAAUUUGCCUAAUUCAAGAUAUGUGUCCUCAUGAUGCUUAUUAAAAUUCCUGCUCAUCGAGUAUGUGCUUGAAUUGUGAUGCAUAUUUGAUGCGCGAAAAAGGGGAAGCACCAGCUCUCUAGUGCUUUUGAACGCAUUCUUGAUGAACUAAUAGUUGAAACGAGAAAAUUGAUGUAUGUGCUUAGUGUGGAUAAGAAAUUAUUAGGUUCGUUAUAACUCAGAAAAGCAGUAUUCAUGAUAUUAUCUGAGAAAAUAGCUAAGAUACUUUGGAAUGUUUAGCAGGAAAAUAGUCCCACUUUUAAAGAUGUUGGAUCACUGCUGGGUAAUAUAAAGAUAUGAUUAUUGUUCCAAAAAGUAGCAUAUGCGGUUCGGACCAUCAACCACACCACAUAUGUAAUAUGCUGUGCAAUAUGCUGUUGGACUGCAUAUGUGGUAGUAUUUUUUUUUUUUGAAGGUGGGAUUGAAAUGCAGUGUUGAAUUGGAUUGUUUGAUUAAUGAUUAUAAAUAUACACAUGACUAUUUUCAUUUAAGUUUCGUUAAUAUGAAUGUAUAUAAAUGUAUUUAUCAUUAUAUAAAUACAACCUAUCUAUCUUUUUUCUUAUUUUAGUAGGUAUUAUUCGUAAUAUAUCUAAUAAUUACAUUUAUAAAUAUUGGUGAAUAAUUUUUGUUAUAUAUUACUAGAUGUUAUUAUACGAGAUUUUUUUUUUAAAGGGUAAUUUCAUUCGAGCCCUCUUAAAAAUGGGAAAUACCAUAGAUGCCCUUUCAAUUCAAAAUUUCAUAAAUAACCCUCCAAAUGUCAAGUAUAUUUCAUGAAUGCCCUCCUCGUUAACAUUGAUAGACAUCCAUCAAUUUAACAUCGAUGUUUAUACAUUUUAAAAUUGGAUAUUACCUUUUUACCCUCCUUUUGAGCUCUUUUUAUUAGAUUAGCUUAGCUAGGUGAAAAUAUUAGGAUGAGUUUCCUUUUGCACUCUUCUAAAAUUAAAAAGCAUCAUAGAUUCCUUGUAAAUUUUGUUAUAUGACAAUUAUGCUUUCAAAUAUAUAAUUUCUUACAAAUAUGUUCUCAAUGAAAAUAUAUGAAGAAACCCUCAGCUGUGAAGUCUAUUGCUUUAGCUGCUUUUAUUUUUCACUAAUUAGCUUAGAUAAAAAUACUAAUAAUUACAUUUGAUACAUUUAGCCGGUAGGGUUUUUUUGAAAGUUUCUUAUGUAUAGAGGGUUAUUUAUGAUAUUUCAAUGUUUUACGGGGCAUCUAUGUAAUUAUAUGCUUUUUGAAGGGCAUACAGGAAAUUUUCCCUUUUCUUAAAGUGUUGCCCUAUCAAAUGACGCGAAUGACAAUUUAUUGAAAAUACUACUGUCUGUAUAAAACUUAGCAUGCCACUUUUUAGAACAUUGAUUUUUGUUUGACAUUUUUUAUGAUUUUGCAUGAAAAUUCUAUUUACUUCUCUAUUUAAUAAGUGAGAGUAAACUGCUAAUUCUUAGUUUAGUAGCACAUGUGUGUAUAUGAGGUCCGUUAUUUGAAAUUAAUUAGUUCGAUUUGUCAGUUAUGAAUUGUUACUUUAGUUACUUAGCUUUGUUAGUGUCAUGUCCCGAACCCAAGGGCAUAAAAGACACCACAUAUCUGCAAUUAAUUACAAAUAUGCCAGGCUACAAAACAACUGGUAUUAAAUUUAAACUAUUUACAAAAGUCCAAAAUCCAUAAUUUUUGACUAAUUCCACCGAUCAUCUUCUGCUCAAACCUUAUAAACUUUCAAAAUACAGUAACUAAAUGUUCACUAUGAAUUCAAGAAGUCUAACUACAUUUAUAUAUACUAGUUAUCGUGCACGUACGAAGCACAUCACAUUAAAUUAAAUUAAAUUUAAAUUUAUAUUUUAAAUUUAAAUUGUUACUGGUGGUAUGUGUUAUCAUUUGAUUUUUUUUUUCUAACUUUAAUUUGUCUCCAAAUAAAUAUUAUACAUUUUAAUUUUUCAUAUGUGCUUCGUAACAUACAAAAUUUCUUUUAAUGUGCACCCGAAUUUUAAAGUUUGAAUUGAUUCAAAAUUUUAAAUUUAUGAAGAAAACUCAAAAUUUAAAGUUUAUUUUGAAUUCAUAAUUUGAAUAUAAGUAGUUAUUGGAGUUAUAGAUCUAUUUAUCAGCCAAUCUAUCUUUCAAGCUUAAUUUAUUUCCAAGUUAGUUAAUUGUUUUGAUUUGAAAGAUUCUGUUGAUAGACCCAAAAUUUAAGAUUUUAAAUUAAUUUCAAAUUUUGAAUUAAAACAUGGAUUCACGUUUGAAAUUAUGAACCAAACUAAAAAUCUAAAUUUGAUUUGAUAGGCUUAUUUUAUAUCAAUCUAUUUUUCAAAUCUAAUUUGUUUUUAGUUUAUUAAUUGAGAGAUAGUGGACACUGCGAAUAUUUUCUAUGUGUGUUUCGUAUGGAUUUUUCUUUUUCAAUGAGCAUGGAAUAUUCUUUUAUGGGCUGCGGGUGAAGAAUAUUUUAUAGUAGAUAUGCUCCGGUUGGUAGAAUUUGGAUAAGUAUUAUUUUUUUUUUCUGUUUUCGCAAAUAAAAUCCAAUAUAGUUCUUUUUUUUUUUCUAAUAUAUAUUGCAUAUUUUUGUAUGUUUUUUGAAUUCUGACGAACCCAAAAUUUAAUUAUGUGUUUAAACUAAAAGUAUCAAAAUUUUAGUUUACAUUUAAUUUAAAAUUUAAAAUUUAAUUUUGAUCCACUUUAAUUAAAUUUUUUUUAUUGUUCAUUCAAAUUUGAUAUCCAAAAUGAAAUUUAAUUAAUGAUCUAAACUCAAAUUUUAAUUUUAAUUUGAUUUAAAUUAUAUAAGAUAAAAAUUUAAAUAAUAUUUGAAAAUAAAUUUAUAUUUGAUUGUUGAUUGCAGUCAAUAAAAAAUUUAUAUAACAACUAAAUAUUUGUAGAUAGUGUUGAUAUAAUCUGAAAAUAUCAAAAAGAAAAGAUAUGAAAUGAUAUAAAAAUAUUUAAUAAAAAAUAAAAUGUUAUCCAUUAGAGAAAAAAGAGGAAUUUAAAGCUUGUUUCAUUACGUUAUUUAUUUUGCGUAACCAAAAAGAGAAACUAUAAAUCUUUUUCCGCCAAAAAGUGGGUCUGUCGAUAGACCCAAAUUCAAAAUACGUGCUUUUAUAUAUUGUAUAGAUAUAGAUAGGCCAAGAGUGUACUCUAUUUCUAAUAUUCACUUGUCCCAAUCAUCAACAAGCUAAUCAGGCAGUACCCGAGUAAGCAACCAUACACCACACUAGUAGGGUUAAACAUGCAAAAUAGAAAAAAUUCUAAAUAAUUAGUUAUAAAUUGUCGUACUAAAAUUUAAUAAUGAUGACUAAGUUUCAUAAAACUUUAUAAAUCUCAUUUAAAAAUUUUGAGUCUGUAACAAGCAUAUUUUACAAAUGAACUAUGAGAUAUAGAAAUUUAAGAAAAACAUUCUUAUUCCAGAAAAAUUAGAAUUGGAAAUAAAAGUCUCUAGUAACUAGCGAUUCGUUGGCUAAGGUCCUAAGCACAUAGUAGAGGCACCCGAAGGCGCGAUUACAAAAAGAAAGCACCCGAAGGUGUAUCUAAAUGGUAUCGGGAGGCGCAUCAUAAAAUUGCAUGUGAAAGUGCGCCACAAAAUUGUACUCGAAGGUGCUAUACAAAAUUGAAGCUAGCUUCUAUCACAAAAUUCAUAUCAACAUGGUCAACAUUAUUAUAGCAAAAUACCAAGUGACAUCACAAUUUUAAGAUCAUUUAGUCAACAUUUUAAAAAAACAAAUUAUUGUAUAUUGAAUUUUUAUCCAAUAAGCACAACUUCUUUAGUACUUGUUUUUCUAAAAUUGCACAACAGUCAAAUCAAAGCUUCUUAGAAAACCUUUUUUGUUUCAAUGGCUUGUAAUUUUAUAUAAGCAUGCUUAAUCCUUAUUUUGAAAACCAUACAAAAGAAUUAUUUUGAAAACCAUACAAAAGAAAUUUUCUUGUCAUAAAUCGUUUCUAUAAUUUUACCCAAAAUAAGCUAACGGGUGUUAGAUUGCUUAAAAUAAUCUGAGUAUUCUUCGAUCAAAUGCUAAAUAUCAAUUUUAAUCAAUGAACCCUUUUCAAAGACGAUGAAGGACGGUGAACGAGGUGUUGUCGACCACAAUCCAAAAAGUGUGUAGACAAAGAUCGAGUGUGGCGGCAACCAAGAAUGGCGUCCGAAGAUGAGGAGAAGCAAGAGGCUGAGCGUGCUUGCGUGCAUGAGAGAGAGAGAGAGAGAGAGAGAGAGAGAGAGAGAGGUGCGUGCGAGUGGGAGAGAGAGAAUCGGUUGGUGGGGGCGGGAGCGUACAGAUUAUAGAAAAGGAGAGAUUUCCUCUAUUAAUUAGGUUAAAGACCGAUGUGCACAUAAACCCCUAAGUUUAUAAAUAUACAAAAUAGUCCAAAUAAUUAAAUAAAAUGAAAAUAUGGGGUAUCACAGUUAGUAAGAAUUAAAUAUUUUUUAAUACAUAAAAUAUUUUCAAUAUUUUAAUAGCAGGACUUUAUAUGCGCCCGCAUACCCAUUUGCGCUAUACUAUGAGUAACUGCAUGAAUACCGCAUACCGCCUUUUGGAAUAUUGAUCAUUAGUAUGGGGAACUUGGAUAAUUUGGGUAUUGAGCAAUUUGGGUUAGUGACAAAGGCCCAACAAGUUGCUUAUACUAGGGGGUUAGUUGUUGAGUCAUUACAUAUGAUAUCAGAGUCACUUCUAUGCAAAAUAUUUUGUGGGGCUAGUGAUUGUACACCGAAGGUGGUAAUUAUAGGAGAAGGCGGGGAGGUGUGAGCAAGACACCUAGGACAAUGGCAAUAGUAUGGUAGAUUUCAUAAUCCCCUCCAAAACUCAUGUGAAUAUGUAUUAUGAGGAAACUGGAACAUGUAUGGGCCCGACAAGAAUAAAUUUCCAAAGCUUGGGAGUUUGUCGCACUCUUUGAAGUCCAUAUCAGAAAAAUGAUGGGUGAUUACUUGGGUAUAUCAUAAUAAGCACAAAAGUACGAGUAAUUUGGGCUUAAGCAUCUUGGCUGACCAGUUUUUUGCCCAACUAGUAUCUAGUACUCAUGAGCCAGUUGGGUUGAUGCUCAGUUGGUGUAGUAAAAAGAGAAGCGAUCUGACUUUGAUGUUGGGCGCUUCAAGGGAAGAGAGGCCCAUAUUCAUUUGGUUGGCUAUAGUGGAUGAAAUCAGAUUUUAAUACUGAUAGAUGAAAUGUGAAAUGUCUAAGCUCUAGUUGAACCAGAAAAAAGGAUAAUAGGCCAGGUUAAGUCGGUUAUAAGACUUCAUUGUUGCUGUUGUUGUUGGUUCCCUUGUCAAAUCUUCUCCUAGCACAACAAGAUACAUCAAUUGUAAAUUUACUAAUUAAAGUUUAAUCUUGAUAGAAUUUUUCUUGAAAUUGAAAGCUUGGCAGAUACUGUUAUGACCAUGUGUGAAUUUCAUAAACUUGCAUUCCAAGUACAUAUUUGAUUGUUUGUCAUAAUUAAAUAUUUUGUUGGUUUGCUCUAACCUGUAGGCUCCUUUUUCCAAAUGGUAUGCAUGCUUGGACAUGGGAGAAUGGCAACCAUGGUGAGGCUGCUUACAAUUGAAAAUUGUUCAGAUAUCACACCAGGUACCGUGAGUUUAUGGUAUAUGAUUUGGUUUUUGGUUCUUGUUUGCUAUUCAAUUCUUUGAUAAUCAUUAAAAAAAUUUGCAAAUUCUCCAGUUGUGCUGGUAGUUUAUACCGCUCUGGAGGCCAAGUUCUCAUAGAGUUGUCGAAAUACCAAAUUGCUAGUAAGCAUGAGAAAAUGUUAGAUAGUGUUAUCUUCCAAACCCAGCUGCUAUCAUUUUCACCAAAGGUCUAUUUUGUACUUGGAGAAAUUGAGAAUAUAAUUCUAUCUGGAAAUUGGUAGUUAUGAUCCAACCGCAGAUUGUAUGGAAAUAAAGAACACAACAUACUAAUUACCCAUCUUUAUACGAUAUAACAGCAUACAAUAAGUUGAGCAUCACUUCUUUUGGGGACUUAAUAUUCUCCUCUCUGAUCAAAUCUAAAUCUAAAUCUAAAUAGCACUAGGCAGACUUCUGGAGCUGGCACUGUAGCAUCCAUCUCUAGCCAACUAAACAUUUUGCAUCUUCUUCUCAUGUUGCUUUGUUUACACCACAGAAACCGAGAAAAGGCAAACUGAGCUAAGUGAAGUAUAGAGGAGAAGAGAGAGUUGGAAACCAAAAGUUCUCUCUUUUGUUUAAACUAAAGAAUCUAUCAAGCUUAGCCUACAUGUUUAAUCUCUAAAGUUGACAGAUCAGUGUGUUUUCCACUUUUCUGCUCCGAAAACGUAGUUAUUUAGUUUCCAUUAUUUUUGAAGUUACAAUCUAAACAAUAGUUGACCCUUGUUGCAAGUUUGUGGGCUAUUCUAUCAUGAAACUUUUCAUCAAUAGUUUAAUCAAUAGCUGACUUUGAUGUCAAAGCUCUUCCAUUUACCUUUCUCCAACUUAUGUGUAUUCUCCUUGAAGAAGUCUAUGUACCUUUCUUCUUGUUAUUCUGGUUGUUGUGUACAAAUAAAUUAGAUGUCCUCUAUUCCCCCUUCCUUUGUUAAUCAAUUUAAUAAUGGUUCUAUUAUGCUUGGUAAGUUGGUAUCUUUCUUCUGGUAUGAAAAAUAUCUAUGACACCCCAGGAUGAGAAUGAGAUUAUACUUGGAAAUAUAAGGGACCAUGGACUCUAUUAAUAAUAACUGGGUUUAAGCAUUUUAGGCUGGUGGCUUAGGCCCAACUAGUUAUUAUUGCUAGCGGGUCAAGUCGUUACAUUUGAUAUCAGAGCCGGUUCACAAAUCGGAAGUGUGAGGUGAGCCUCACAUCGCCUAGUGAUCUUGGGGUAUGUGUGCGAUUGAACUGACAAAUACUUCAAAGCCUAAACGGUGGGAGUCUGUAACACCCUAAUAGUCUCACAUUGAAUAGGAACAGGGUCGUGAUUUGGGAAUAUAAGGGGUCAUGUACUUUAGUAAUAAUAACUGGGCUUAAGCAUUUUGGGUCGGUGAUUUGGGCCCAAUGAAUUAUUAUUGCUAGUGAGUCGGGUCGUUAUAAUAUCCAUAACCAUCCGAUAUAUUACGAGAACAUUCGAAAUUUCAAGAGGUCAUGAUUUCCAUUCUUUGUAUCAUUUGUAUGUAAUUUGGUGCUUGCUGCAUAAAUUGCUAUGGAGGAGAGCAUAACAUUGCAAUAUUCAUUCCUUAAGCAAGUACACAUACCAUGGUGGGAACAUGCUGGUACAUGCAGACACAGGCUCCUUACAGGGUCCGUGGAGAUUGUGUAUUUGGCACUAUUUGCACCGCAGCACAUACAGUAUCAUGGCAUGUGGAACAAUGAGUAUAACACUUUCCAUGUUUACCUAAACUUUCGUAGAAGAAAUGACUCGUGAAAAGAUUGCUGCCCAGAUCAUCCACAAGGAAUUCCUUGAAGCAGAUGAUGCAAAUUUACUCGAGGAAGAAGGUAAGUUAUUAUCCUUUUUUGAAAUAAUCAUUUACUAGAAUCAUACUAGUUUGAUCUAAAUAUUUCAAUGAUCUUUUCAUUUUUCCCUGUUAAGGUACCUCCUCUGUGUCUCCCUCGAUGUUUUGUUAACACUCUCUUUUCUUGCAUUAUUCUCUGUUAUCUAGUGGCAUCAUCUUUUUUCGCACGCAUAGUUUCUGUGACUCAGUAAGUAAAUUGCUGUGUUUCAGGCUGAUAUUCAAACUGCAUAUUCAAGUUGUAAACUGUUUUAUUAACUUUCUUAUGUUCUAGUUGUCUGAGCUAUCCAAGUAAAAUUUCUAAUCUUGUUUUGAUUUGAGGCUGUACUUGAGAUAGCCUUCUCUCUGUCUUCAGUAGUAUGGGUUUGCUAGGGCAGACACAAAGCUGAGAGGACCGUUAAAGAAUUCCCACAGUUACUAUAUCAUCAUCACCAUUCACACCUACGCUUAAGCUUCUAUAACUUGGGUUUGUGGGAGUGUAACUCAACUUUGGGAAUUCUACGCAAAACAUUUGUUACUGUUUUACAGCUUUUGUUGAUUGUAAAUCAACUUUAGAAAUUUCUGAAUUAAACGCAAAAUUGUAGAAGCACACUUUGAAGUUUUAAAGAGACUUAGAUGGAAACUAAAAUUACUGGAAAUUCUUAUAUAUUUUAAUGUACUGUUUUGGACCUGGUUGAUGUCUUUGAGGUAUCUAAUCUUGUAGCGCUGAAUUUUGCACGGUCAACUUUCUUGCAUCUUUACUCUUUUGAUAAGCUGGGAAGUGUAGUAAUACUGCAACAGCUAAUCCUGGAUUCUCGCAACUUUGAAACGGACUCCUAUUUAACUGUAAAUUAUGUUUAAAACUUUUGCAGUUAUACAUAUGAUAAAUGAUAGAACUCGUACAACUAAGAUAUCAAAUGGAGAUAGUUGUGCUGCUAAAUAUCAGCUUUGAAGUUGAAUUAUUUCUGAAGAGAAGAAUCUUGACAGUUGUUAUGCUAAUUUUUCCUGCAAAUAUAUGUUCAGAGUAAUUGUAACACUUGUUAGUCUGCAAUUAAUGCUAUAUUUCACUUAAUAUAUGUUUAUCCUGGUAAGGCAGGAUCUGAUCUUUAUCUACACUUUUCUUUCGCUCUUUUCAGAUAUGCAUGUAUUUGAUUGUAGGCCAUUGACAGAUCCGCUGCACCUGGUAAUUACAAACAAACAAUGCUAUGUGAUUUGAAUAGUAGUUGGAAGUAUAUGCAACCAUACAUACUGCAGCCAAGCAUACCUUUUUUAUGGUUUCAUAAAGUGUACCUUUUCUAAUGGUUUUAUAAUUCUUUAGUCUCAUUAUCUUAGUUGACUUUCUGUUGCAUUGGAAGACUAUCACUUAUUUUAAUGUGCUCUACUUUGUCUACAUGCUAAUGGUUUUCUUUUACCCGUACCUUUACUUUUUUUUUUCGCAUUCCUCAAGGCUAAAAUUCUCAUUCUCGCUCCCAGUCAAGAUUGAGUGUGAAGUUCCUAUUUAGUUUAUAUUGAUGAAUUAUUUGUGUAUUUCUUUUGAAAAUAAAUCACCCACAGUCCUGACAAAGUUUCAAAUGGAAGGGUUGUUUCUUUUGGGGUAGAGGUGGGGUUGGGUUUAGAGCAGAGAGUAGUCAGGAGCAUAUAAAACUGAUGUCAUGGCUAAUAUUUGUAUAUUUAUCGUGAAACAACCGUUGUACUCUAAGAGCUUAAGCUCAGAGAACGGUGUUUUUAUAUUUUUAUAUUUAACACUCCCCCUCACGUCUCGGCUCGAGACUUUUUGUAGGCCCAUGACUUGGACUUGAAUUAAAUGGGAGGAAUUAAUAAUGCUAGGAGCCUAACGUGAUUCGAAUUCAGGACCUUCUGCUCUGAUACCAUGUGAAACGGCCGUUGUACUCUAAAAGCUUAAGCUUAUAGAAAAGGGUGUUUUUAAAUUUUUAUAUUUAACAACGUUGCCUGCACUGAAGAGCAUAAUGAUUGAAUUUUUCAUAGAUUUGACACUGGGUGCCAGACCGUGGAAUAUAUGGUUGUUGGUUUGAUUGAGUAUUAUUAGGUUGAGAAUGUAGGUAGUUUUCAUGAGGUCCACGACCAGGGUAUUGAUUGUCUACCACGUUGUCCUCGACUUCCGCUAUAUCUACCCCCAUGAUCGCCAUGAGCACCUCGCCCACGAUUUGCAUAAAGUGCUUCUGCAUCAAUGGUGGGAGUAGCAGAUGGUGUUGUCAAGCUGGCACGACGUUGAACUUCUAUUUCUUUUUGCAUUAAAAGUGUGCGAAGUUCUUCGAAGGUAGGCCUUGUCCUAUGUGUAUUUAGCGGACUGACAAAACCUCUAUAUUCUUCGAACAAUCCCAGAAGAACAGUCAUGACCAAAUUAUGAUCCGUCUCGGUCUUGCUAAUCGCCUGAAGAGCAUCCUUGAUCAACUUAAUUUUUUGCAUAUAUUCACUCAUGCCUAUUGAUCCUUUCGUAAUACUUCGUAAUUCGGACUUUAUAGAAAAAGCUGUAGAAGUAGUUUUGUCAAGAAAAUAUGCUUCAAUAAUUUUUCAUGCAUCACGAGCUGUUUUAGGUGAACUAGAUAUAACCAUCUAUAAUAUGCUAAGAGAUAGAGUAGUAUAAUCGAGGAAAGAAUGGUGGUGUCUACUUUCUUUCAAACUAAAUAAUUUGGAUUUACAACUAUCUUUUUGUCAGUAGUGUCAAUUGUUGGAGGAAUAAUACUUGAUCCAUCAACAAGUGUAGUCACACCAAAACUCUCUAAAACAUUUAGAAACACUUGCUUCCACACGAGAUAUGUAGAAGUAGUGAGUCCUAAAGGUAUGAGGGUUUUAAUGUUAACAAUCGGUAAAGACAAUAUAGAAGAAGACAUGUUUGCCAUCGAGAAAAGAAAUUUCCACUAUAAAAAGAGAAGGAAAAAUGUCAAAGAUUACCAACUGAGAAUUUUUGAUGAGAAAGAGAAGGACCAAAGUCACCAAACACCACUAAGGGCAUGUUUGGUUCACCUAUUUUAGACUAUGGAAUCGGAAUGGAAUUCAUUGAUUCCGAUAGUUGCCGUUUGUUUUAUAGGAAUCAGAUUCCGAUUCCCAUUCCACUCCGGAAUGGGAAUGGCCAAAUUCAUUUAUGACCCAAUCCGGCUUUGAAUUCUGGAAUGGCUCAUUCCAAAGUAAACUAUUCAAAAUCCUCUUUCAUCAACACCUACCUCCUCUCCCUUCAUCACUUUCCUCUCUCUUAAUCAAAACUCUCUAUCAAAAAUUUUAAAUUUUCAUUUUGAUUUCCAUUCCAAUAAUGAACCAAACAUUUUUGGAUGAUUCGUCAUUCCAUUUCCCAUUCCAAAGCAAUCCAAUUCCAUUUCCCAUUCCUAUUCCAAUCAUGAACCAAACAUGCCCUAAGUGAAAAAAAAACAAGCGGCAUGAGCAGCACAACACAGAAAAUAUCAGCAAUAACAGGAUAGGCCAAGCGAUACCACGUGCGACACUAGAGGAGCAAAGAGGGACCAUAGAGAGGCUGAAAUUACUAUAGCAUUAUGUCACGGACUUAGCGUUUUUGUUCGCAAAGCCCGUGCGGCGCCCACCUUUCCUGCUCGAAGAUGGACAAGCCUUUGUCCCUGUUGCUAGCCCGGACCUUCGCGUCCUACGACUAAGUAUGCAAAGGGAAAUGACAAAGAGAAAGAGACAGAGGUUCUCUCAAAAAACUAAGUACUACACUACUUAGAAAUGAGAAUUACAACCUACAAACAGCAUACAAACACACUCUCUCUUGUGUGUCAUGGCCUUAGCCAACCCCACUAUUUAUAGGCCCAAAGGUGCCUUUUCAACUCACCCACUACCACAUAACUCACCCAUUAUUACAUACAUAAUGAGCCUACAUAAUGAGCCCUCAUAAAUGCCAAAAGCUCAAGAGUCACCCAUAACUCCCAUGAGUUUCAUGACCCUUGAGUUUCCCACAGCGGGUUGGGUUUGGGUCUACUUGCCAACCCGAUUCGACCCGUUUUCAACCCGAACUCGCUAAGCAGAUUUGGGCCAGGGACCGGGCUGCAUAGAAAUUUUUCUAAGUCCCUGACACCCUCCUCCACCUAAUGCGCAGGCGUCCUCGUCGCGCGCUGCUUCUGGAACUCGUCGAUGAGCGCUUGGUACUGCCAAAGUGUGUCCGCCUUCUCCCAACUCGCCUCGCCGAAUGGGAGAUUCUUCCACUUCACCAAGUACUCAGGAUUCGGCACGACCCCACGUCGCCGAAUGAGUCGAGUGUCCAGGAUGGACUCCGCUUCUUUGUCGAACGAAGUCACCAUGGUCGGAGGCGCUCGCUGCGACACUCCUCUGCUCGGAUCCUCCGCGUCCUCGUUGUACAGCUUCAACCUGCUGACAUGAAAAACAGGGUGGAUCCUGAGGUUUGCGGGCAGCUGCAGCUUGUAGGCCCCCUUGCCCACACGCUUGACGACGGUAUAUGGGCCUUCGUACUUGCGCAGCAGUCCCUUGUGCACCUUCCGCAAGGCUUUGAACUGCUGCGGAUGAAGCUUGACCAUCACGCGGUCGCCCUCGGCAAACUCCCGAGGCUGUCGCUUUUCGUCAGCCCACUUCUUCAUCCGUCGUGCUGCUUUCUCCAAGUUCGCCCUUGCAAUUUCACCCUUUUCCUGCAAGUUAGUGGUAAACUGAAGAGCAACUGGGCUGCGGAACUGCUCUCCCGCAGCAGCCGUGUGAGGGGCAAGUGGUUGUCGCCCGAUCGCCAACUCGAAAGGGCUGCAGCCUGUAGACUCGCUGCGCCGCAAAUUGUAAGCAAACUGGGCGACAUCGAGAUGAUGCACCCAAUCCUUCUGAUUGGCACUCACAUAGUGCCGCAAAUACUCCUCCAACAGAGCGUUCACCCGCUCAGUUUGCCCGUCGGUCUGUGGAUGCCAACUGGUGGAGAAGAGCAACUCCGACCCCAAGAUUUUGAACACCUCGGUCCAAAACUUGCCAGUGAACCUGGGGUCGCGGUCGCUCACGAUGCUCGUGGGGAUCCCCCAAAGCUUGACGAUGUGGCUGACGAAGAGGCGUGCCGCUUCUUCAGCCGUGCAAUCGGUCGGCGCAGCAAUGAAGGUCCCGUACUUGGAAAAACGAUCAACCACCACCAGAAUGGACCCAAGCACCCCCACCUUUGGUAAGGCGGAGAUGAAGUCCAUCGAAAUGCUCUCCCACGGACGGCUAGGCACAGGUAAAGGCUCGAGGAGUCCGCCAGGUCGCUGGUGCUCAACUUUGUCUUGUUGACACACCAAGCAGGUUCGCACGUAGGCCUCCACGUCUUCGUGCAUCCGCGGCCAAAAGUAGGCGGCCUCGAGCAACGCCAGGGUUCGCUUCUGACCUGGGUGGCCCGCCCACUUGGAGUCAUGGCACUCCUUGAUGAGCUCGCGGCGAAGGUUGCCCCACUUGGGCACGUACACCCGUCGCCCCUUUGUGAGGAGCAGCCCGUCGCUCAGCCAAAACCUUCGCGUUUUGCCCUCCUUGACAAGCUGCACCAGAUUUUGAGCGAUAGGGUCCUCAUUGGUUCCUGAACGAAGUCGAUCGCGGAGCGUCCCUUGAAGCUGCCACACGGCUGCAAGCUCAGCCUUGCGGCUGAGAGCAUCAGCCACGCGGUUUUCCUUCCCGGGCUUGUAUUGCAUCUCCAUGUCGAACUCCGCCAAGAAGUCUUGCCACCUCGCCUGCUUAGGGGACAGCUUCUUUUGGGAUUGGAAGUAGCUUGUGGCAACGUUGUCGGUGCGCACCACAAACUUGCUCCCAAGCAAAUAGUGCCGCCAGGUUCGCAAGCAAUGCACCACAGCGGUCAUUUCCUUCUCUUGGACGGUGUAACGCCGCUCGGUGUCGUUGAGCUUGCGGCUCUCAUAGGCGAUGGGGUGCCCAUCCUGCACGAGGACACCGCCAAUGGCAAAGUCAGAGGCAUCAGUAUGUACCUCAAAGGUGCGACUGCAGUCGGGUAGUCGCAGCACUGGAUCCUCCGUCACCGCUCGCUUUAGGUCCUCGAAUGCCUCCGCACAUUGAGAGGUCCAAACCCACGAGUGGUUUUUCUUCAGCAGAUCCGUCAACGGGGCUGCUCUCGCAGAGUAGCCAGCAAUGAAUCGGCGGUAGUAGUUAACGAGUCCAAGGAAAGACCGCAACUCGGACACCGUCGUUGGGGUCUCCCAUUCGCAGAUGGCUCGCACCUUCCGCUGGUCCAUGCGAAUCAGGCCCUGGCCUAUCCAGUGGCCAAGGAAGUGCACCUCUUCCUUCGCGAAUAUGCACUUCUCCUUCUUGACGAACAGCUGGUUCUCCCGCAGCACUUGGAAGACGGUUCGCAAGUGCUCGAUGUGCUCCUCCAAGGUGUUGCUAUAUACCACGAUGUCGUCGAGGUACACCACCACAAAGCGAUCGAGAUAGGGAUGGAACAGCUUGUUCAUAAGUGUGCAGAAGGUUGCUGGCGCGUUCGUCAAGCCGAACGGCAUGACAAGGAACUCAUAGGCCCCGUACCUCGUCACGCACGUGGUCUUCUCCUCGUCUCCUUCUGCAAUCCGCACUUGAUAAUACCCAGAGCGAAGGUCGAGUUUGGUGAAGUACUUCGCUCCGCCCAAUUGGUCGAAGAGAUCUGCAACCAAAGGAAUUGGGUAUUUGUUUUUGACCGUUACCUUGUUGAGCGCUCUGUAAUCGAUACAAAGCCGCAGGCUUCCGUCGCUCUUGCGCUGGAACAAAACUGGUGCUCCAUAGGGUGCCUUUGACGGUCGGAUGAAGCCCGCAUCGAGGAGCUCCUUCAACUGCUUUUGCAGCUCCUCGAGCUCUGGCGGGGCCAUUCUAUAUGGCGCUUUCGCUGGCGGUUUGGCUCCUGGCUCGAGCUCAAUGGCAUGAUCCACCUCCCGUCUAGGUGGAAGUUGCUUCGGCAGUUCCUUUGGCAUGACAUCCUGGAAAUCUGCCAAGACCGCCCCAAUCUCUGCAGGAAGGCCCUCCUCGUCGAGGCCCUCGUCGCUCACCUCGCGGAUCGCCGCAAGGUAAGUCAUCUCACCACGGUUCACACCCCUUCGCAACUGCAAUGCAGAGAGGGUUUGGGUGCUUACCGUUUUCUCCUGGCUUGCUAGGACCAUGCAUGGGGCCGCCUCGUCCAUGAUGCUCAAGGCCCCAAGGUGUGGCAUCGGAACCGCCUUCGACGAAGCCAAGAAGUCCAUACCUAGUAUGACUUGGAAGUCGUCGAUGGGUGCAGCGGUGAAGUUUGCGGUGCCUCUCCAAGGUCCCACCGCAAUGGCCACGCCUUUGGCCACGCCCGCAACAGGUUGCGCCUCAGAGUUGACGGCCUUGAUCCUGCUAGCAUCCUUCUCAAGGGGAAGGCCUAUCCGUUUGGCCUCCGCUUCGGCAACAAAGUUGUGAGUGGCUCCCGUGUCCACCAAUGCUCGUGUGGCCCUGCCGUUAAGGGUCACAUCGAUGUACAGAAGCUCCUUGUUGAGGGGCUUGCUGCUGCUUGCCAGCCCCUGAACCGCGUUGACGAGCCUAAGCGCGCCCAUCUUCGUCGGUUCUGCACUGCCCUCGCCCUGCUCGGUCUGGACAGCAUUCAGCUUCUUCUUGUUUGGGCAGUCCCUCGCCCAAUGGUUCUCGCCGCAGACGUAGCACGUCAAUUUCUUUGGCGGCGGCACAGGACCCCUCUCGCGGCCCCUGCGCUCCUUCUGGUCACGACGGUCUCCUCCACCUUUAGCCUUGCUCGCUUUGGGCGUCUUGCUGCGAGUUGAAUCCGCCCGCUCGUACUCGGGCAGUUUUUCCGCCAAGGCAAUUGCGGAGGCAACGUCCUUGACGUCGCGUCCCACAAGCUCCUUGUUCGCCCAAGGUUGGAGUCCGUCGAGGAAGAAGAAUAAGCGAUCUUCCUCCGCCAUGUUGGUGAUGGACAGCAUCAACUUGGAGUAUUCCUUGACAUACUCCUUGAGCGUCCCGGUGUGUUUGAGCCGUCGAAGUUGCUUCCUCGCAAGGUACUCGACGUGCUCGGGGUAGAACUGCGCCUUGAGCUCGCGCACGAAGUCCUCCCACGUCUUCAAGUUGCAUUGGCCCUUCUCGGCUUCUGCAGAACGCCGACGCCACCACAGCAUCGCGUCAUCAGCAAGGUACAUGGAUGCAGCCUGGACUUUCUCAUCUUCGUCGUCCAGCCGCAACGCCUUGAAGUAGCGCUCCAUGUGCCACAGAAAGUUGUCGAUCUCCUUCUCGUCGCGGGUUCCCCUGAAAUUUUGAGGCUCAGGGAUACGUACCUUCGAAGCGGACUCUCGUUGGGGUUCGUGGCCACGCGCCACCGCUUUCUCAAGGAUCGUUACUCUUGUCUUGAGGUCCUCGACCUCGUCGACUCGAGCAACAAGCUCCUCGAUCAGUUUCUUUCGCUCCUCGUCACGAUUCUUCAUGUUGGCUUGGAGCUUUUCGAGAUCGCUUCGAAAUGUCUCCAUGGCUGUAGCGACACUUUCCUCCAUGCUGUGGACAUCUUCGUUGAAUGAGUUAAAGGUAUCCGCCAUCUCGGUGUACCUUUCACCCAUUUUCGCGAUGAUGUCCUCCAACAGCACAAGGCGGUCCUCCAACGACGCCGAAUCCCUCGUGAUUCGCUGAGGGUCUUUGCUCUUGCUUCGCUUGGAGGGCUGCUUUGGAGGGUCGCCCCCAACGUCGACGAUUCCCGCAUCGGAUGACGACAUGGUUCCUCGCUCGAACCGGCUCUGAUACCAACUGUCACGGACUUAGCGUUUUCGUUCGCAAAGCCCGUGCGGCGCCCACCUUUCCUGCUCGAAGAUGGACAAGCCUUUGUCCCUAUUGCUAGCCCGGACCUUCGCGUCCUACGACUAAGUAUGCAAAGGGAAAUGACAAAGAGAAAGAGGCAGAGGUUCUCUCAAAAAAACUAAGUACUACACUACUUAGAAAUGAGAAUUACAACCUACAAACAGCAUACAAACACACUCUCUCUUGUGUGUCAUGGCCUUAGCCAACCCCACUAUUUAUAGGCCCAAAGGUGCCUUUUCAACUCACCCACUACCACAUAACUCACCCAUUAUUACAUACAUAAUGAGCCUACAUAAUGAGCCCUCAUAAAUGCCAAAAGCUCAAGAGUCACCCAUAACUCCCAUGAGUUUCAUGACCCUUGAGUUUCCCACAGCGGGUUGGGUUUGGGUCUACUUGCCAACCCGAUUCGACCCGUUUUCAACCCGAACUCGCUAAGCAGAUUUGGGCCAGGGACCGGGCUGCAUAGGAAUUUUUCUAAGUCCCUGACAAUUAGCACUUAUAUUGUAGCAAUACUGUAGCGCUGGAUCGCUGAUGAGAUCCAGCGAGGUAGAUUAUUAUGAGAGAAAACGCCGAUGAGAUCUGGUGAGGGAGAAGGGCGGCACUAGAUCGCUAUACCCUAGAAUUAGGGUUUGACUCUGAUUGCAUGAAAGAAGGACAAAAGAGCAUAGCCCUCUAGGAUUGUAUUGAUGAUAAUAAAUAGUGUACAAAUCAACCUAUUAUAGUAAUAUUGCAACUAGAGAUACCAUAUAGUCCUACGCUAUAUAAGGCAACAAAUAAUAUAAUACUAAAUAUAUCCUAACAUACUAAAUUAUAUCGUAACAUUUAUUCCCUGUUGUUUUUGUCAAAAAUGUGAAGACGUCCUAUGAUCUUGUUACUUUAUCAAGCUGCCUUUUCAUUUGUUGUUUCAUUUUAAAGUUUCAUUGGAAAUUAUUGUUUUGACUUGAUAAUUUUUCUCAACUGGUUAUUCACAUCUAUCUGAAUUUAUUUUCAAUUUUGAUUUCUUUUUCAAUUUUGGGCUUUCUAACAUUGAUAUUUCUAACAUUGAUAUGUUUCCUGAAGGUACGCUGUAAUGCUUGUAAGAAGCCAAUCAAAGAAAGUCAAUAUGCAGCUCAUGCAGGUACACUGAUACUUCUAUGCAAAAAUAAUUCAAGGUUAUUGACUUUGUUAAUACUUAUAAGAGAAUAUUUACAUUUUCUGUCUUCUCGAAACUUUUAAGCUUUGUUUUGGUUCUUCCCUUGUGAACGCCAAAGCUGAAUAUAUACAUUUUUUUUGUCCUGCUUCCUUUAUUCUCCAAUUUUCUUUGGAGGACCUGUUGCUUCAUUCUUUUGAGGUGAAGUUUGUAUACACAUUGUAUGUUUUUCUUUCUUUGGGGUUGCCCACCUUGCUUCAGGGCAAAUUAACUCUACUCUAAAUAGAAUAAGUUCACCUUCAAUGUAUUUCUAGAGAUUGUGGCCAUCUUUUACCUGGUAACAAAGUUCCUUUUGUUGCUCAUCCCUAUUAUGUUAUUUAGUUAGAAAUUUCCUUGUACAGAAAUAUGAUAAACAAUCAGCUUUUGUUGUUGCAUUCCUUGUAAUGCCAAUUUAAUUGCUCUUUUGGCAACCUUGUGCACCAUUAUUUGUAAAGCUUCACCUAGUUUAGUGUUGAUUUCUGCAGAGCGUUGUAGGUCAUUUAGCUCAAAUAGAGAUUCUGUCGUGGAACUUGAUGGUGAUUCUGGUCAUAAAAAGCCUCUGAGGAAGGGAAGAAAAAUAUCACAGUCGUCUAACGGCAGUAUCCUUUCAUCUAGUAUGUUGAUUUUCAAUGCAUAAGCAAGUGUUUUAUUCACAUUUAUCUUUCAAAAACUACAAUCACCUAGUUUACCUAUAGUUGUGAUUUAAUGAUGAAAAGAGCUUUUGUUCGACUUGCUGCCUGCAUCGCUUAAAAUGAAGGAGUUUGAAUUUCAUGUGAAUAACUUACUGUUGAGAAUGAGUUUGCGCAACUUUACAUGUUAUGACAACAAUUUGUAGUUUUCGUAUUGGAUAAGUUGUUACGCAUAUUUUGAUUGAGAUGGCCAAAUACAAUUUUAUCUAUUAAUAUGUUGGAGAAGAGAGGUUUAAUGAAAAAAGUAGGAGCAGAAUGCUUUUUGUUGACCACUUCCUCAUUGUUAUUGAACAAGAAGAUUGAGUGAAUUCAUGUUGACAUUUCAUUGAGAACAUGCAGGACUUGCAAGUUAGUGUCUGCAUCCCUUGUUUCUCAUGCUGUUCAGUUGCUGAGCGAGUGAGUGGUACAAUAGACACAUGAAUUCUUGGUUUCAUGCAUUGAAAAGUUAUAGCACUUAAACUUUGUGAACUUGACUUUAAACUUUAUUUGCACUUUGAACCUUUUAAAACUUUAAUAAUUAAAAGCCUCAGUACAUAACACUCCAAGUGUGAGAUGUUCACAUAAGCAUGCAACUUAAAAGAGGAACAUGAUGUCAUGUCUUGUCCUGUCCGAGUGUCCAAAAGCACUCAUGCUUUACAAGUCCCAAUAGGUGUUUGUGCAGUAAUGUGAUAUGCACAGUAAUAUUGUUACUAGCUGCUGGCAAUUAUCAAGUCUCUAAAUACUGGUUAUGUUUACGAAGUCUUAGAUUUCUUAGGUCAAAAGCUCACUUUUGAGACUCUGAGAUUCCAUUCAUUAUAAGGACAAUACCUCUAAAAAGUAGUGUGUGAAAGUUGUCAUAGUAACAUGCCUGUGGACUAUCUCAUUGAUCUUUUGUCUUCUGUUUUGGUAGGUUAUUUUUGACUUGUUUAUUCAAGAGCAACCGAUCCCCAGGAACUUGGAUGAUAGGGAGAAUUACAAAGAAGUUAAUAAAAUCGUAAAUGUCAGAAAAUGAAAGCAAAACAACUAAUUAAGUUAAUCAGGUGAAAGAAAACUUAUAUUAUAAUGAUAUUUAUGCAUUAUUUUAAUGUAUUCUUAUUGAUUUUUGAGUAUCAAAUAUAAAUAUGGAAGGGACUUUUUGAUGUUGUUUUGUAUUGUAGGCAUUACUUUGUAUGACACUAAAGGCUAUUGAUAUGUGCUCUACUCUAUCUCAAUCCUUAUUUGAAAUUUAUAGCUUCUUUAUUAUGAACUAAAAAAGUGAACUGAACCCGGAUAAUACUAUAUUGUUUGUGCUUUAACAUCCUCAUAGCUCAUCAUGUUUUUGAUAUUUUUAUAGAAGUGAUGGUAAUGAAGGUUGUGUGAUGUUACUAUGCUAGCCAAACUACACAUAUUGAACCUCUCAAUUAAAUCUUCAAUGAUAUUUUAAUUGCCAUACUUGAAUAGGUUAACACAAGGGGCCUUUAACUAAAUGUGUAGAUUCUUUUCUUUAGUUCUAAUCAUCUUUUUUCUCCACGAAGGUUAUGUUGAUUGUUCUUUUGGUUGUUAAACAUGGUUGAUACUUUCACAUAAGUCCAGAGAAGAGAUGAAUGAGUGUUACUUCUCAGUAUUUUUCAUUUCUUACAUGCUAUGUUGUCCUAAAACUGGUGGUAGGUUGGUUUGGUUGUGCCAUGAUUAGCAAAUUUAAAAUAUUAUUAUUCAGCCAGCUCUGUUUUUAGUUUCAUUAACUUUAUUUAGAUCAAAGAUUACAUGUAGAUGAAAAACAAAAAUCUGAGUCAAUGAAUAGGAAUGACGGUGGUGGUUCACAAUCGAAUUUCGAAAAUCAGAGCACCCUUCAUUCUACACAUUCAGGGGAGGCCCCACGUAAGUCCUAUAAGUUUUUCUAUUAAUUCAUUAUUUACCCUUGUAGGUUCCAACCACCAAAAUACUAUAGAAAUUUGUCUGAUUUUUAUGUUUUAAAUUCUUUUUCUACUUAAUACUUCCACAAACUUCGUGGUCGCUGUUCUGGCUGUUUUGAGUUCAUGGUUCAGUAAUUGUGAGUAAAAGCUGAAAUAUUGGGAAAUAUAGUGUAUUAUCGCUUUCAUAUUCAGGAGUCACAUACUUGUAUCAAUUUUAAUGUGACUAGCAAUGAAAUAAUGCUUGCAAGGAAAGGAAUAACACUGAUUGAUGCAUUAGAAUGUGUACAAUUUGAGAGAUAUUUUUAACUGCCGAUGAGUUUGACCCCUAACUGUGACUGGUCUUAAAAUUUAUGUAAAAAUAUCCUUCUAACAUGAUGCUUGUGCUUAGUAGUAACAUUUCCACUUUAUACUUUGUAAUGGUCAAGAGGGAGUUGAGGGAUUAGGGCAAGUGAAGAAAAGUCAAAAGGAGAGAACGAAAGAGAUCUGGAAUCCAGCGAAUAAACAGUAGAAGUAGUAGUAGUAGUUGGGAGUUAGCGGGUCGGGUUGUCGGGAUUCCAUUCGGGCACCAUCCGACAAAGAGGGUAACCCACUAAGCCUUCCAUUCUUGACGGUUGCUCAGUGGGCCGUCCACUCGAAGUCCAGAGGGCGGCAUACGGUCCAGGCCUUUGCAGAUUGGAAGCCCAGAUGGCCCAUCCGAGAAAUUACAUUUUCUUAUUAGUAUUCAGCUUAUAUGGGAAUUACAGAUUAGUCCUUAUGUAGUAGUUAUAAAUAGCUUGAGGAGUCAAGUGUAAGGGGGUAAUGAAUGAAUUGAAUUGUCUUCUUCUUCCUCAAUCUUCUAUCUUCUUCUCUUCUCUUCUCCUCUCAUCUCUCUCCUUCCUCUUCCCUAGCCCUUCACUCUGAUCUUCUUGUUCUUUAAUCGAGCUUCCAUCAUCUCUAUCUCACCGAUCCUCAGAUCCUUCUCAUCAUCGGAUCUGUGAGAUAGAUCAGGUUGUAACAACUUGGUAUCAGAGCAGCAUCGGUCCCAGGGAAGGUAGUAGUUCCAAGUAAUACCAGGAUCGAGAGAUCCGAGGAAUUACACAGGAACGAUCAACCCACAUCUCGGAUUCCAACUACGGUUGUUGAAUCUAGGAUACAAGGGUUGGCUACCAAGGAGGGAAGGGAGAGAUACCAUUGCCUCAGCGAACAUCAUAGGCGAGGAGAGAAGUGAGGCAAGCACCGAUCAAGAUUGUCGACUGGGGGAAUCAUUGGGUCCAACCGAGGCAAUCGCUUCAAAUACAUCAGUAAGGCAUCCAUGGCGGAGGGCACCAGAUUCAAAUUGCUCGAUGAGCACGUCCACGCCUUAGAGCAGAAGCUGCAGGAGAUGGCAACGGGGAAUGAUCGGAGAUUCGAGGAGCUGCAUCAAAGAAUUGGGGCUAUGCAAGCCGAGGAGCAGAGCCACUAUGAAUUCCUGCGGAGGGAGGCCGCAAAUUCAACCAAGAGAUGGGAACAACUCAUGGAUCUACUCACCAACCAGCAACAGAGCUCUACAACCAAGGGGAUGACCACCACAAUCACCCAAGAAGAUCGAGGUAUACUGCCCACACCUCCGAUCCCUUUACUCAGAGAUGAUAGCUCUGCAAUUCAAUUCUAUACUAAGCACCACAAUUCAUUACCCACACCUCGAUUAGAUUUUCCCAAUUUUAGUGGAGAUAAUCCUCGAAAUUGGAUAAGACGUUGUGAGAAGUAUUUUGAGAUUCAUGGGAUUACGGAGUCACAUAGAUUAGAAAUAGCAGCCAUGUAUUUGGAACCACGAGCAGACAUUUGGUUCCACGGGUAUUUAGCAGAGAAGGGAGAAGUAAGUUGGGACACCUUCGCCCUCGACCUGUGUAAACGUUUUGAUUCCAAUGGGUUGAGAGAUGUAGUAGAAGAAUUUAAUAAACUGGUGCAACAUGGAACUGUGGAGGAAUACCAAGAACAGUUCGAAGAGCUAGGAUUCAGAUUAUUGACCACUAAGUCCCAAUUUGCCCCAGAUUAUUUUUUAUCCAGCUUCUUGAGUGGACUCAAAGAGGAGAUCAGGGCCUCUGUUAAGAUGUUCAAGCCUAGCACCUUGGAACAAGCCUACGAGCAGGCUCGAUUGCAAGAGCAGAGCAUAGCAGCUAUGAUGAGGAAGAGCAGGAUGCUACUGAGGAACCAAGGAAGCACCCCAAUCAGUAGCUACAAGGGCAACAGUUCAGUUACAACCAACAGAGCUAGUGAAGCUCCCAAGAACUAUGCCAGCAAAUUCAACACUGAGAAGGCAUUUCCGAAUAGGCAACUUAUAGAACAAAGAAGGGCAGCAGGGUUGUGCUUUAAGUGCGGAGAUAAGUACUCACCAGGACAUCAAUGCAAGACUCAAAGCAUCAACACUGUGACGGCUACCCCAGAAGUAACUGAAGUUUAUGAUGAAGUCAGCCUCCGAGAACUAGCAUAGCAAGAGGAAUUAGAGGUGGAUGAAGAGAAGGAGGAGAUGGGGCUAAACUACGUGAUUCAAUACAAGAAAGGGAGGGAGAAUAAGGUGGCGGAUGCCCUGUCACGCCGGGGGUUGGAGGAAGGGAGCAACCAAGCCAUUUCAGUAGUUACCCCAACCUGGAUUGUUGAGGUAAUUAAGAGUUAUUGUGAAGAUGAAGACUGCCAGAGAUUGAUAGCCCAGUUGACGUUGCAACCUGAAUCUCAAGUGAAUUACUCUUACAACCAAGAAUUGCUACGCUAUAAAGGAAGGCUAUACAUUGGAUCAGGAGAAGGGGUCAGGCAGAAGGUACUUCAGCAGAUGCAUGCCUCUGCCUUAGGAGGCCACUCGGGGCAGCAGCAUACCUAUCGAAGGAUUAAGCAAGUAUUCUUUUGGCCGAGACUCAAGAAAGAUGUCGAAGAGAUGGUAAAGAAUUGUACAGUGUGCAUACAGAAUAAGUCCGACAAUCAGCCCUAUGCCGGAUUAUUACAGCCAUUACCGGUGCCUGAGCAAGCUUGGAAUGAGGUAAGUUUAGACUUCAUAGAAGGGCUACCGAGGUCAGAGGGGAAGGAUUCGAUAAUGGUGGUAAUAGAUCGCUUCACUAAGUAUGCACAUUUUAUUUCCCUCACGCAUCCUUAUACUGCUUCGGAGGUAGCCAAGGCUUUUUUCCACACGGUCUAUCGCCUACAUGGAUUACCAGCGAAGAUCAUAUCCGACAGAGAUAGGAUCUUCACCAGUGAGUUCUGGCAAGAGUUGUUCAAAACCAUGGGAACUAAGCUGCUCAUGAGCUCCGCCUACCACCCACAAACAGAUGGGCAGACGUUGCGGCUUAACAGAUGUCUGGAAACAUAUCUAAGAUGCAUGUGUUUCCAGCAUCCUCAGGCAUGGCAUAAAUGGAUCACACACGCGGAAUGGUGGUAUAACUCGAACUAUCACAGCUCACUGGGAAUGACCCCCUUCCAAGCCCUGUACGGGAGACCACCACCGAGUUAUAUGUUAACUGGAUUACAACAAGGAACAGGGGGGGAAGCGACAGAUUGGGUCAAAGAAAGAGAAAUGAUGAACAGAGAACUAAAAGACCAUCUCCAAAAGGCUCAGAACCGUAUGAAACAAUUCGCGGACCGGCGAAGGGUGGAUCGGGAGUUUAAGGUUGGUGAUCAGGUAUACCUGAAAUUACAACCCUACCGUCAAAACACUGUGGCCGUGCGACGAAACCUCAAGCUCUCGUCCCGAUACUUUGGGCCUUUCGAAAUCAUAGACAGGAUCGGACCGGUGGCCUACCGGCUACGCUUGCCGGAAGGGUCGAAGGUGCACCCUGUCUUCCAUGUCUCAUUAUUGAAAAGGAGCCCACCAGAAGGGAGAACCGCAACUGCCACAGUACCUCUUACCGGAGACAACGGCCAACUGCUAGCAGAACCAGCAGAGAUCCUUGAUAGGAGGAUGGUAUAGCGCGGCGGGAAGGCGGUUACCCAGGUGUUGAUCCAGUGGAGCAACUUGCCGAUGGAUCAAACGACUUGGGAAGAUUACUGGUUUCUCAAAUCGCAAUUCCCCACCUUCGAUUCUUGAGGACCAGAAUCGUUCGAAGGGGGAGGGAGUGUAAUGGUCAAGAGGGAGUUGAGGGAUUAGGGCAAGUGAAGAAAAGUCAAAAGGAGAGAACGAAAGAGAUCUGGAAUCCAGCGAAUAAACAGUAGAAGUAGUAGUAGUAGUUGGGAGUUAGCGGGUCGGGUUGUCGGGAUUCCAUUCGGGCACCAUCCGACAAAGAGGGUAACCCACUAAGCCUUCCAUUCUUGACGGUUGCUCAGUGGGCCGUCCACUCGAAGUCCAGAGGGCGGCAUACGGUCCAGGCCUUUGCAGAUUGGAAGCCCAGAUGGCCCAUCCGAGAAAUUACAUUUUCUUAUUAGUAUUCAGCUUAUAUGGGAAUUACAGAUUAGUCCUUAUGUAGUAGUUAUAAAUAGCUUGAGGAGUCAAGUGUAAGGGGGUAAUGAAUGAAUUGAAUUGUCUUCUUCUUCCUCAAUCUUCUAUCUUCUUCUCUUCUCUUCUCCUCUCAUCUCUCUCCUUCCUCUUCCCUAGCCCUUCACUCUGAUCUUCUUGUUCUUUAAUCGAGCUUCCAUCAUCUCUAUCUCACCGAUCCUCAGAUCCUUCUCAUCAUCGGAUCUGUGAGAUAGAUCAGGUUGUAACAUACUUUCUCAAUUUUCUGUCUUGUCUAUCGAAUAGCAAGGAUUUACGAGUUUUCUUUCUUUCAAAUUUGUUGCUUCUAAAGAUAGUUCAGUUAUGUAUGAUUAAGUAGUUAAGAUACAUAAGCUUUUGAGGUAUUGUGAUAAGUUCUAACUGGAAAUUUUUUUGGACAUGCUUUUGAACCUCAAUCAAAUGUAUUUAGAAAUAAAACAAAUCGGAACAGUUUCAAAUCUUUAAGUUCCUCUGAAAGAAGUUCAUAUAUCUUUAAAGUGUUACUGUCAUCACUCGUGGCUUUUUGAGUCUAAACCACUGGCCAAAAUUACUUCAAAUCAAGUUACCGGACUGCUUUUCCUUUUAUACCCAUGCAUAGUCACUUCGCUAGCUGAUAUGGCACUAUUGGGGUUUGACACCUCAUCUCUCCCUUCCUCAUUGAUAAGGACUAAUUUUACUUUGCUGACUAACAUGUAUAUGAAUACUUGAUAUUUCCUCUUCAAAAUUUUUACAUACUUUAGUAGUUCUUUAAUAUUCUUGAUAUAGGACAUGGUAUGCUUCUAUGAUCUGCAGGAACAAUGCGUUCACUUGAUCACAUAACAACCGUCAAUGCUUCUGAAAAUGGCCAUGGAGGUAUAAACUGUUGAGAACAUAUAGUAUCUCCUUGAAAAGUUGAAUACUGGUUCUCCUUUAUUGUAUAUGUGAACUUUGAAUUGUCUUUAGUUGAAGCUUGCUUCGUUUACCUUAUCAAAAGUCUUUAAAUUAGCUUAAGUUUUAUCUUGCAGAGUGAUCGUUCCUUUAUCCAUGUUAUUCUAGGAAAACAUACUAGGCACUUAACCUUAACCCAAUGAAAAUUAUUUCAAGCAUGUAUUCCAGCGCCAAAGUUAAUAGACCAAAGUACCGUAGAAAACAUAUUUAGAGGACAUUGCAAAUAACCUUUUAGAAGGAGCUUUUUUUUUUAUCUUUUUUCUUUUAAGGGACAUUCUUUAGAAUUUGUAUUCAGAUGAUUUUUCUCUGUUGUCGAGGAUGAAUCAAGGGUACUUUGAGAAAAUUUGUGUGAAUCUGAUUCAGAUUGUAUUGGACAUAGAGGUUGCACAUUCUCAUCAAGGAUACUUUAAAAUAUAUCUGCAUAUUUUUUGAUGAUAAGAAUUUAGAGGAGGAUGUACAGGUAUUCUAUAGAUAGAAAAAGAAAUGAUUGUAUCUGACCUAGAGAGUAAUUUGUGUGAAACUGAUUGAGAUUUAUUGGUCAUGUGCAAUGAGAUCUAGUGCUUAUAAUGAGACAAGGUCGUGGAUAGUUGUGGACUAUUUAAUUAAAUCUUCUUAUUUGCUAAUAAAUAUGAAAAAUCAUAAAUCAAACUUGAGGAGACUUCAAAGAAAUUGAUGAUUUUCUAGAUUUGGUCAACCUGAAAUGAGUCCUCCCAACAUUGAUGCUAAAUUAUCAUAAACCAAAAAUUUGAUAAUAGAAGCUUGGAAUCAAAGUUAUAAGGCAAUCUUGAAUAGAAUACCUUCUUGGCUAUACUUUAGGUUAAUGCUAUCCAGAGAACAUCCCUCAGAAUCUCUAGAGUGAGAUAGCAGUCAUGAUGGGGGUGAAAGAGGAUGAAUUUUGUUCUGUGCAUUUAUAUUUGUUUCCUAUACAAAGGUAAGCAGAUGGGCCAAAUAAAGAUGAAUCCCAUCGACUGCAUGACUGUUGUUACAGAAAAUCAUACAGAGAAAAUGACGAGAUCCUAAUGCAUUCAUAGUUGCAGCAAUAACUGACUGCGAAACGAGCUGACAUAUUUGUAAGAGAGCUAAUAUAACAGUAAAAUUAUAGGUUUUAGUAAAUCAAACCUGAACAAAGCAAGCCGAACCUGUUUCUCUUUGUAUUUGCAGGUUAGUGUUUGUUGAUCCUCAUUUAAUUCUUUACUAUGUUUUUCAUUCUAUCUCAUAUAUGUAAUCUCUUAUGACUUGGUAAUACCGAUAAGGAGCUAGCUGAUUGUAUUGUCCGUGUAUAUCAGAUGCUCCAGUUCCUCUUGCAACGAAAAUUUACCACUCACAAGGCAACUAUCGUCUAAGGUUGAAACUGGGCCAUCUUUAUCGUGCGACGAGUGGAAUAGAAAAUAGCAGCAAUUAUGAAAGUUCAAAUGCAGUGGAGGAUGGAAUGUCGGCUCCGCCAGUCUUUAAUAAGUUGCCACAUGAAGCACAAAAGGAUAAUUUUCCGCAAAUGAAGGUGUGAAAGGCCUUUUAAAUACUUUUUGUACUGAACUUUUCAUUUUCAACCUGAAAGCCUUUCAAAUUUUUUGUUCCCUUUCUUUUCACAUUUCACUUCAUCUAUACAAAUUUUGUAUCCAAAGCAAAACAUUUCUGCAAUGUGUUUGAAAGAUAAACUUUUAGUCACAUGCAUAUUUGUACGUACGUGGAAAUUUGGUCCACAUCCUUUACAAGAGCAUUUUAACAAAAUACGGCACCAUAAGUUUUGACUCCUUUGACAACUUUGUAUCAGAAAACAAUUAUUACCUUCUACACUACUGUAGAUUACUGCCUCUUUAAGUGUAUGCGCCUUCUCUUGAAUGUGUCAGACCAUGAAGGGUCUAAUAUAAACUUACUACUUUUUGUGCUGAAUGCUCUACUACAUUGUAUUCAUCUAGAUUCUAGUAUGCUAGCUCACUAUGUAGCAAACUUGAUCUUACUGCUAAAUUCUUUUAAAUAAUUCCAAUUACUCCAUCUCUCCAAGUGCUCCCAACAAUUAUCAGAUGAUACAGUAGUAAUAAAUAGCAGAAGCAAGAGCAAUAAGGAGACACCGGAAUUUACAUGGACCAUGGGUUCUGAGCAGAGAAAAGCAUUCUCCUUACCCUAGAAGCUGUCUGUAUCAAAGAGGUUCCAUGUGUUGACAGACUUGAUCCAUCUUGUUUUUUCGGCCUUGGGCGAUUUGACUUAAAAUGCGUAAAUAUUUAUUAAACUUCAUAAUAUGAAUAGAUAGUUUGAUUGCAAUGUAUAUACUUUCGGAACACUUUUAUAGGAAUUCCAUUUUUCACACUGAUUUUUUUGUCUUUAAAAUCCUUUUUCUAUUUAAUUAAUCCAUACUUUUCAUAUUAAACUUUGUAAAUUAAUUGUUUGUUGUACCCUUGAAUGUCCUGUUCAAACUUUCCUUUUUUAAUGCCUAAUUCAUGAUGCUGCAUGUGAUUACUUGAUGUGGCAGUUUGUGGGAAUGAUUUUGCAUUAGCUAAGCCAAUUUGGCAAGAUUUCAUGGGCUGAUUUUUCUAUGUGAUCAAUUGCAAAACUAACCAUUUUAAGUAAGACAUGAGUGUUUAGGUUAAUUUUCUCCUGUUUGUCCUUAGAUCUUACCAAACCAAGCAAUGGCAAUUGCUAUUAUUUUUUUAUUUGUUCCUCUGCUCUCUUCCCGUCAUAUAUUCAUUGUCUUGCGAGUCAUUAGGAGUGGGGGGUUAGGGGCAGUGAUGUAGACUCUGGUCUUUAUGCACAAAAUGAAAAACUAAUCUGGUGCUUUUAAUUGAAAAUUGGGCCCUUUUCGGUACUGCUGCAUUUUUUUUUUUGGUUUUCAAAAACUCAAAUUCUAUGCGAUUGAAUGGGCUGACCAAUUGUUGGAUAUUUCGCUAUCUAUACAACCAAAUGGAAUUGUUUGGCAACAAAACCCAAGGUUUAAGUAGCAAAAAUAUUUUUUCUUUUUUUACCCUGCUUCUCUUUCUAAAGAAGAUGCUGCUUAGCAUCUGAUUGGGUAUGCCUUAUAAGCUAACAAACGACAGCAAGGAUAGCAAAGUUUGUCUGCGAGUGCAUUCAAUUGCAUAUGGUUUGUGUGUUUUAAGAAAAAGAAAAGAAAUUGAAGCAGAGUACUAAAUGAGGCCUAACAUUGUUGGCUUUCUUAAAAAAAAUCAUAUUGUAACUCUAUAUGCUCUAUGUGUUUACUCUAUAUGGUAAGGCACAAGGUUUUAAGAGCUGUGGCACAUACUUAUGCCGACCAGUGGCGGGCAUAGUACAGCAUGAGAUGGUGCUCUGCUGCCAUGCGGCACGUAGCGCGGUGCCGCUAGCAGGAUGCCUGUGCAGGCACACUUUGUCACAUGGUAUUUAACUUUUCGCACCAAUGUAUUCUAAUAGUUCCUUUUAUGUGCUUCUAUGUGGUACUUUGAUAUUUAAUGACUUGCUAUUUGCUAAUUUCAAAGCAGUUUGUGAAGAACAUACAAUUUUUCUGGACUGAGGAUACAAAUUUUGGGUGAACAAAAUUUUAUCGGCAUUAUCUCUUUAUUUCAUUGAAAUCUAUGAAGAAGUGCACGAAUAAUGAUUAUAGUAGAUAAAUGUAAAGCUCUAUUCAUUGUUUAUCAGUAAUUUUAUCUACUUUUUAGAGAUUUUUUGGCUUGUGGAAACAAGGGUACAAGUUAGGGAAAUCAAAAUUUUCUUGGGAUGCAUUAUUUGUAGCAGAAAGGAGUUUGUUAAAGAGUGUUUUUGUGUUGUCAGCAUGAGAUAGCCAUUGUGCUGUUACCUUGUUAGGAAGUACGGCAAGGUUGGCAAAGCCCCUGCUAAUAGGUAUUUAUAUUCUUGGUGAGGCAUAUGUUUAUAAUAUACUUUAUGCAAUUGGUCAUGAUGAGUGCACCGAAGCAACGCAUCAUGCAAACUUCCACUAGGGUUUGGAGUUUGGAUGCAUCGAAACUUUACACAAAUGCAAUCUAGUAUGCUCUCCUAUAAAAAUUUUCUAUCUUUGAUUCUCUAUUUGGCACAUGCAGUUCUCUUCUUCAGAGAUAUUAGGCGACUAAAACCUUGAUCUGUUGUUUAAAGGUUUACUUAAUGAUCCAGCGUUGAAACUUCUCUGGUUUUAAGUAUUGUUCCCUGUUUUUUUGAUUCGGUCGUAAUUGAUUUCUCACCACCUAUCUAUCCUGAUGCAAGUAAAUGGCGGAAUGGCAAUAAAAUUUUCCGGAUAGAUGAAACCAUGGUUUUAUUUCAAGCAAUUUUACACGUUGCAAUUUUACCCUUGGGAAGCAGAAAGAUGCGUACUCCUUGGGUGUCGUGUGCGACUCUGACCAGCUGACGAGACAAAGUUCAGAACUACAUGCUGAUCUCUCAGGAGAAUUAACGUCAGCCAUAAGCUUGCCAAACCAAGUACAACGGACUAACUUCUCGAGACUUGAACAGCCUGUAGCUGCUGCUCCAAAGGGAAUGACAAAAGUCAAAUACCAUGGAACGGCAUAUUCAUACUCUGGAAGCUCAGGUAUGUCAUUUACUUUCACAAGUAGAUCCUUGGGUUUGAUGGAAUGUGUGAUUGGACCUUUUAGCACUCCUGUGCGAACUCGCAUUUCAGAACUAGUGAUUAUGUGAAGUAUAAAAGUGUUGCACCUUAGAUGUAUAUAUGUAUGUGAACUGUUAUUGAGCACGAUGGCAUUAUCAAAGCUUUUAUGAGAUCUCAGGGAUUGCAUGGUAAUUGGAUAUGAAAACAAUAUGAGUCGGAAAUAGCGAUACAAAAAACCAUUGACAGAAAUCAAAGCUUGAUAUACACAUCUGCUUUCUAGUUGACAGAUAUAUAAACAUCUAUGUAGGUUUUUCUAUGAAGGGUAUAAUAUCAAUUUAAUAAUGCAUGUAGUAAAUCAUGCGAAGGGUUUCUAUUAUUUGGUUUAUCUGCUCGGUUCUUUAUAAAUAUUGAGUAACCCUUGUCUAAAAGUAACCUAUAUGUGUUCUAAACCUGAAGUGUUGCAUCCAUUUAGUAUUUCUGUUUAACUUAAGAAAAAUUACAUUCAUGAAGAAGAAUCUGUGAUGUAUUGAAGAAUUCAAAAAGUAAGAAGUAUUUUAUUUACUGGCAUAUCCAGUGCAGACAUGCCUAGGGUAUUAAAGCACUGUUGCUAUUAUUUCUUUAACAGACAGUCCAAUGCUUACAGGUAUUGAUGAUUUUCUUUAGGAUUAAGAACUUUCUGGUAGUGUUCGACAGUGUGAAAGAACAACUCGGGUCUUCGAGACCAUUGCAAUACUUCGCGGCCCGUAGGCUUGAGAACAGCUACCUGGGGAUUUUUGGAAUUAUGCCCACUUGGGGUAGGGAAUUCUCAGGAUGGCUGUCCCAACCUUAUCCUGGAACUGCUAUCCAAGUGUAACAGCAACUGGUCAGGACUUUUUUCUGCGCUGUUCCCUCUGCCUCUCAUGUAGUAGUAUUUUUCAGGAUAGAGGUGGGAUUGUGCGACAAGCUACCACUUCCCAUCCUUAUCCCCCUAUUCACCAAAUAUGCCCUCAGGCAGCGUUUGGAUUGGGGAUAAGGGGUGGAAUAAUCCUUAUCCCCCUCUUUAUACCCAAACGUUAAUUUUUUAUUCGAGAAUAGUAGUUCUCGGUUACCUAUAAUAACCGGAUAUAACUAUCCCCACCAACACCUCCAUUUUCUAUAUAUAACUACCUACUAUUUUUCUUAUUCCAUAUUAUCUAUCCAAAUGCUAUUUUUCUUAUCCUCGGGAACAACCCAAUUUUCAUCCAAACGCUAUUUUCUUGUCCCCAUACUUGUACCUAUCCCUGUAAUAGCUAAUUCUUACUUAUAUCCGAACCAAACGCUACCUCAGUAUCUGGCUGGUCGCCACCUGAGGUUGGGAUGUGUGUAAAUAGAAAGAUUAUCUGCGAUCUUUGGUUGCGAUAUUUUAUCAAACUAUGCUCCUCUUAUCAUUUAUAGAUUAGAUAUUUCAUAAAUAGAUAUACAUAGGUAAAUUUGGGUGUGAUUUUUGGUUGCAAUACUUGAUCAAACUAUGCUCCUAUUAUCGUUUUAUCUGUUAAAUCUUUGAGGUCAUUUUUCUGAUAUGUGGACUUCUUCGUAUGAGCAUUGCAAUAUGAUUUCCGGUAAUUUAUAUGGCACCUUUAACUAGGGAAGUUCUGUUUCUCAGGUUCUUUGGGAGCAAUGCAGCAGGCUAACGGAAGUGUUCCGGUGAUUUAGCCAUCGAUACGGUGGUCCUCUAAUGAAAGGGAUAUUCAGCUGUAUAUUCCUUACUUCAAAUUUCAAUUAUAUAGUCUAGCGUAAUUAAAUGAUCCCCAUUCCUCCUGCACUAUAAUGUACAAACAAAUCAACUUCGUUCCCUUGUAGUCGAGAUGGUGCAUCGGUACAGAUUGAGUAACUUGCGAGCCUGCGUUCGACUCAAAUGAAACAGCCACUCACAUCCAUUGGUUGGAAGGGAGUUUCUUUUUCUUUUUUUUGAAAAAAAAAGAAAAAAACAUUUUGAUUUUCGUCUCAUCGAGGAAAAAGUGCUGCAGAUUCGAUGCUGUAAUUUAUUAACAUCAUUGGACUUCCUAAAUUUGGCUUAUUGCCAAAAACAGUUUGUGCUAUUUGAUGGUUCGAACGAAAUUCGAGUUUUAAAUUCGAGUUUCAUGCUAUUAUAUCUCUUAGUGAUGCAGCUACUAUGCUGUUGAAUGGUUGUGAUCAACCUGCGCCAACUUUCCUAGAUGUUUUAGUGACGCGAUGCAAUUCCUGUUAGGGCAAAAGAAAAAAAAAAGUUAAUGGAGUUUCAGCAAAUAAUACUCUAAUUAGCUUUAUUUAUCCUGAUGAUGGGUUGUUGAGACUAUUUCUGGGUUGUUUGUUAUGUGAUUAAUCGUCCGGAUUAUAGUAGAGAUUAGUUGGUUUACUUCCAUAAUCCCUUUUAUUUAAUUGUUUGUGCAGGCACCGUGGAUGGUAUGGUUCAUCUGAUCUCUACACGUACGUGAUGGUAUGGUUCAUCUGAUCUCUACAUAUACGUGAGUAGGGUUAGCAAUCCAGCUCGUGCUCGUCUUGAAAUGAGUUCGAGAGCAAUCGCUCGUCUAAUGAACGAGUCGAACAUGAGUUGAAUUUUUCAGCUGGUGUUAAGGCUAUGUUGUGGUCGUCAUGUGGUUGGCCCAUCACUUGGAAAUGGAUUUGCAAAAGAAAAUUAGAUAAAUAUUUGUCAAAAAUUUAUAUUCAGUCUGCCACGUUUCGAAUUGGAGCGAUAAGUGGGAGCAAAAGUUUGAACAAAAAUUAAUCUGAUCCCCCUGAUCUGUCUCGUUUGCAUUCCUAUCCACGGAUUUUUAAAAAUAUUGUUGAUUUUUUGUUUUUAGAUUUGCUUAGAUUAAGUUCAAUCUUAAGUAUGAAUCAUUUAUUGUUUAUCUAAUAAUUUAAUUUUAUAUCUUAUUCAUUACCAACUUAUUAAGUAUAACACAUCAAGUUUACUAAAAUUUAUAGAUAUUAAGAACUGUGUGCCUAAAAUGCUAUAUAAUUAACUAAAUAUUUUAAUCAUAUUUGAUUAAAAUAAAGAACUCGAUAAAAAAAAUAACAUUGAAGCCAACAUUUUGACAAUAUCCUCAAAUUUUACGACUAAAAUCACUUCAUUUUUAGAAAAUUAUGUGAAAUCAAAAUUUGAAAACUAAAGUAUCACUUCUUUCCUAGCUUGAGAACUAAAAAUAUAAUUUAUUUUUAUAUUUAGGGUUUUUUUUUUUUUACAAAUGAUCCGAACAAAUUUAUAUUUGCAUAUAUGGCCCUCUCGUUGUCACGUGAGUGUCAUGUUGGUAGUUUUAAGUUGAACAUAGUGAAUAAAUUACUGUAUUUAUAUUUACAUUUUAUUCUCAUUUUUUAACUUAGGGAUAAUAAAAAAUAUAAAAAAGGAAUAUGUUUAACUUAAAAACACCACCUGAUGCUCGCGUAACAAGAGGAGGACUAUUUAUACAAAUAUAUAUUUUUUUUUUUGAGGAAAUUAAAUAAAAAAAGUUUUUAUAUUUAUAAAUAUACAGAUAAUAUUAUUUUAUUUUUAGCAACAAGAUAUGUGCAAGCAGUGCAAGAGGAAAGAGGAAAAGAGUUGUUGGUGCUAAUCAUUUGCAUUAGGCUGCUCAGCUACUCACACUCUACUAGCUGACUGACUGGCUGUAUAUUACUUGCUUGGUGUGGGUGACAACUGACAGUCAAUCCGCAAGAGCAGACUGUCCUCCUCUCCCUUCAACUGCCUUUUCUUGAUUUGGUCUGCUGCGCCGCAAAAAAAAAAAAAAAAAAAGCAAGAAAAGAAGAAGAAAACUGACAUUGGUGGCCUUUUUUGACCCUCUCAACUACUUCCACUUAAGAGAGGGAGAUGAGAGAGAGAGUAAAAAUGUGGGAGUUUAAAAUUCCUUAAUUAUAAAAAUAAAUAUUUAAAAUUUUAUUUAAGUUGUGAAUUAUUCAUCAUUUCCUAGAAAUAAUAGGCCAUACAUUUUUUUUUUAAUCAAAUUUUUAUAUUUUUUAUAUUCAAACUCUAAAGGAUGUAUAACAUUAAAUAGUGAAAAAAAUUUUAGCAUUUUGAGAAAGCGGUAAAUGAUUUAUUGUGUUUAAAAAACUUCAAAAAUAUCUAAUAUGUCCAAAAUGCGAUUUUCUGAAGUUCUUCAAAUAUCUCUUAAUCCUUACGGUUUACUAAUAGGAAUUGGGGUAUAAAGGGGUAUUUUGAUAAUUUUAGGAUAAAUUUAAAAAUUUUGAAUAAUAGUCAACAGUAAAUAAGCAAAAGUCCCUUUAAUUUACCUAUAUCUCACUUCUUAGCAUUUUAAUUUUAGUAACCAAUACAACCUUUCGACUGCAAUUUAGCCUUUGACUAAAGGAAAAAUAUUUGGCUCUAUAGUAAUUAAUUAAUCUACAAAUUAUACAUUAAUAAUUUCUAUGCAUAUCUUUCCCUUCCCAAUAUAUAUAUAUAUAUAGUAUAUUUCUACAUAUGUUGCUAACAUACACAAAUUUACUACAAACACUAAGCAAAAAAAGAUAAAAAGGAAAUGAAAAAAAAAGGUGGCCAAUAUCAUACGACAAUUAAAUAAAAACUAUAUAAUAUGUAUGAUCCAAUCACACCAAGCCAUGCAUGCAUGCAUGCAAUGCCACGUACGUGGAGAGCUACGUACGUACGUACGUACGUAUACUAAACGAUGCUCAUGAGAUCUCCUCUGAUCCUCUCCACAGCUUCUCGAUCACACACAACUGAGGUGACGGCCACACUGAGAGUGUGACGGUCGCCGCCGCCGCCGCUCUGUUGCACCGUCGCGCUCAGCACGUCGGCCCCGUGAUCUUCGAACACUCGCAGCACUCGCGCCGCCGCCCCCCGCGUCCGAGGAGGCGCCACGCAGACCCCGAAGAACGCGGUGUCGGCCGUCGACUCCGCGGUGAUCGUGACCGCCGACGUCGACGACGCCUCGGGUCCCGACCGUCGGUCCCUCGUCGUCGCCGCCGUCGCCGUCGUUUCUCCGAUGGCGGACGCCGCCUUGCGCGCGUCGAGGGCCGCGAUCGCCGCUUCGAGGCCUUUGAUGUACGAUAUCGUCUCGUCGAUGAUCCUCGUCCUCGUCGCCUACAUUGCAUGCGUUAAAGAUGAAGAUCAUAAAACCCUAGACAAUCCAAAAGGCCUAGAAAAUUUCUAUUUGUAUGAUAUGAAGUAUAUGGUACAAAAUAAACACAUAUGUAUAUAUAUAUAUAUAUGUGUGUGUGUGUGUGUGUAUAUAUAUUCAUUCAUGAAUAUACUCUUAAAUCCUUUUUUAAAAAAGAAUUAUUUUUUAACUGGUGUCUAAGAUAUAUAUAUACACACACACACACACACCAGGUGAUACACUGAAAUUCAUGAUUUUUUUUGGUCUCUUCGAAGAAGAAGAAGAACUGAUUAUACUUAAUAAGAGAGCACAAUUUCACAAAUAUGUUUAUAUAAUAUUAUAGAGAACAUAUUAUUUUGAUUUUUUUUGGUCUUUUGUAUGUAAAAGACAUAGUGAUUUCUCUCUCUCUCUCUCUCUCUCUCUCUCUCUCUCUCUCUCUCUUUUUUGAUUUCUUUAAUUUUUGCCUGUUGAAGAAGAAGAAGAAGAAGAAGAGUAAAUAUUGAAAAAGUGGACACAAAGAUGUUAAAAAGCAAUAUUUAGAAACAGAUAAUAUAUCCAUUCACUAUGUUAUGUCCAAACACACACACACACACACACACACACACAUUAUAUAUAUAUAUUCAUGAUUAUUUGAAAGUCUCAGCUUAUACAAAACAACAACAACAACAACAACAUGCCCAUAUACAUAUACAUGCAGUGCAAUGCAACUCCAUAUAAUAAUAACAAUAUAUGUAGGAAUAUAUAUACAUAUAUAUACAUAUACAUAUGUAUAAAGGAAAAAACAAAAUAAAGUAAUUAAUAAAUUGUUAAACCUUAGGGAAGAGAUUAGGAACAAGAGAUUGUAAGAUGGUGUAGAACUCAGUCAUCUUCUCCCUCCUAUUUCUCUCCAUGUGGAUCACAUCACUCUUCAUGCUGUUACGAUUACUCCGCGUCGACGUCGACGCCGACGCCGACGCCGAUUUCAAGCUCUUGAUCCUCCUCAUGGCCACUGCUAUUGUAUAAUGAGUUAUGUAUAUAUUUAUCUCUCUCUCUCUCUCUAUAUAUAUAUAUAUAGUUCCUUCUUUAUAAACACUAAUCCAAAUUACUUAUGUAAAUAUGUGUGGAGUCCCUUCAAGUAUGACCUAGUUAGAAAAGGGUCCUUACAUAUUUUUUUUUAGUGGGUAAAUUGCACUACUAGCUUGCUUCUGGACUCUGGAGUUUAAGUCCAGAUUAUAUUUUGGUCCUCAAAAUUUUGAUUUUGACGCUCAGGUCCUUGAACUUAUAAUAAUGUUUCAUUUUAGUUCCUGAACUUUAACUAAAGUGGCAUUUUUAGUUUUUUUUUACUUUAGAGUUAAAAUUAUUAUCUGCGCUGGCCUGAUUCAAUUCAUGGUCGUUUAUCGAUCCUUCAUCCAAAUUUAUACUUCGAAUUUAACGGUCCAAUUUCUAAAUAACUAAACAUACAUAUAUGAUUGUUUCUAAUGGAUAGUUGCUUCCAACAGUAAAUAUUUAAUUGAUUUAACAUCAAAAUUAGAAGUUUGAGGAUCAAAAUGAAAUUUAGCUAUAAGUUUGGGGAGUCAUGGUACAAUUUAUUUGUCCUUUUCUUUUAUUAAGACCCCCUCAAUUAGUUGAGUUAUUUAAGUCAAUUACUUAAUUUGAAAUUUUGUUAAUUUAAUCAACUUAUACGUUCAAAGAAACUUAGGUUUUAAUGAAUAAUUAACAUUAAGCAUAUAUACCACUAAAAGCAAUUAAGCACAUACUAACUCAAAUCAAAAUAAAUAAUUAAAAUUGUGUAGCAAUAUAAAAAAAAAUUGCGGGGAUCUAUUUUUAAACAUAAUUUAGUUGAGGGUGCCCCCUGUACUUUUUUAAAAUCCCUCCUCAACUUUCAGAUUUUCAGAUUUUAAUAGUUUUAGUCCAAUAGAUUAAAAAAUAUAUCAAAUUUACCAACAAUUUUAUCAAAUUCACUACUUCUACUCACUUUCUAGCAAAUAAACUGCAAUAAUUAAUUAAUUAAUGGCUAUUAUUAAUAGAACCACCAUAUUUAGAAAAAUUUGAACUAAAAGUUGAAGAGGUCAUUUCAAAAUGGUCUAUUGUUGAGGGAGUUUUCCAUAAAUUUUUUUCCCUAAAAAGCUACUAAAAGGGUAUGAUUAGUUGUGUGCUGUGUUCAGAGUUAGGGAUGUUAAUGGGUCGGAUUCGGGACAGAUUUUGAAAAACCCGAAUCCGAAACCUAACUACCAAACCCGAAACCGAAAUCCAGAUCCGAAUUCAAUGGAUUUUAAAAAUCCAUAUUAAAGCCCAAACCCGACCAAAAAUUCAAAACCCGAAGCCGAGCCCGAACAUGAAAUAAUUAUUUCUUUUUACGAUAUUUCAAAAUACGUCAUAUUAAAUCUAAAUUUUUUAAAUACAAAUUCAAAUACAACAUCAAAUAUUUAUAUAUAUUAUAUAUAAUAUAAAAUAAUUUCGAAUUCUGGUCAGGUUUGGGUUCGGAUCAGAUACAAUAAAAAAUCAUAUCCGAAUUCAAAUCCGUUGAGUUUUCAUUUUUGAUAUUCAUAUCCGAAACUAUUAGCAUCGGAUAAAUUCACUUUGUUCGGGUUCGGGUUCGGAUUCGGAUAAUAUUUCAGGUAUAUAUCCUUAUCCAUUGAUUAAUGAAACCACCAAAUUUAGCAAAAAAUUGAACUAAAAGUUGGUAAGAGACCAUUUCAAAAUUGUCUAUUGUUGAGGGGGGCUUUCCAUAAUUUUUUUCCCUAAAAAGCUAUUAAAAGGGUAUGAUUAGUUGUGUGUUGUGUUGUGGUCAGAGGAAGUGUGGGGGCAUUUUAGGAAACCUGGCACUGUGGUGGGAUUGCUCUCUGAAAUAAGAUUUUUUUUUUUUUUGGUUUCAGAAAAAAAUUUAUUAAAAAGGUCAGUGGAAUGUGCAGUUCCUGGGAGGGCUCAUCAUUAGUUCUGUUUUAGAUUCUUGCUUUUGUUAUUAUUAUUAUUUCUUUUCAUUGUUUCUCUUUUAAUUCUAUAUAAUAAUAAUAAUAUGUAAGGAUUAAGUAGCAAAGCAUGUGUUUUCUUUUGAUAAGAGGCUACUAACCCUUGAUUUUCUUUUAGGGCAUGUUUUUGUUGGAUCGUUGUGUUGACGCUAACCAUUAAUCUCAAUAGCUCGAGCCGUUAGUAAUAAGAUGCAACUAAUUCACUUAAAAUCGUACGGACAAUGUUUACGGUUCUUAAUUGUGACUUAACCCAAACAGCCUCUCGCCGCUUCAAAUAUGAUUCGAUUCGAUCUGCCGUCUCGUCAUUUUAAAUGUGACUCGGUCCAACUCAGCUUCCCGCCAUAUGGUAGAAUGCUGCACCUUUAAGCCCGCAUGCUUGGUCAAGAGGUCAGAGUUGACUUUUGAUGGUAAAAGUCAAAUGAGCACAUCAUAAAAUGUGGUGUGCAUUUUAGUUGGAACAUUUUCAAAAGCUUGUGGGAAUAUGGAGGUGUAGGGUUUUGUAGUUUCUUGGGCUUGAUUCAACCCACAAAUGAAGCCCUAAAUUUGUGGGCUAGUGGGAGGUCGAGAGCUUGAGUUGGUAAAUGGGUGGGCCAGGUCAGGUCGGGUCGGAUCUUGACCCGGUAAAAUACCAAUUCGGUUCAACCCGUAAAACCGGACUAGUUUAAAAUCCGCUUUGAUCUGUUCAUAUCAGUGGUUUAAUCAGUGAACUAACAAACCGACACGGUCUUACAAAAACCGGACGGAUUUUUUUUUUUCAAUUUUAUAUUUUAAUAAUUAAUGAAAAAUACGCAUUAGUUUUUUUAAUAAUCUACACUUUGAAUAUAUAUUUUUAAUUAUAUAUAAUAUAAUAAUAUAAAAAACAAUAUAGAAUAUUAUAUUUGAUAUAUCUAUUUUAUUAUAUAUAGUAUGAAAACUUAAUAAUUAAAUAUUUAUGACGUCAUACUAACGUCAUUCAAACCGGUGGUUGAACCAGUAACUUAUGACUCGGCAAUAUUUUCAAGUCGUAAACAGUUAUGGGUUUUAACAUAUUGGUUUGGGUUGGAUCAUUUUAAGUUUGGGACCAUUUGGGGUCUCAAAACUUUUCGGUUGUUUCGCGUCUGUUCGCAAGUCAGAUCGUUUUCGGCUUCCAAAAGUUAGAUUUGUGCUUGACUCUUCAUUUAAUAAAUUUUCUGAUCACUAACUUCUUAUUUACUUCGAAAAGUGAACCAGCGAACCAGCGUAGCCUAAAUUAACCACCUGGGUAGCUUGUGUUUGACUUUAUAUUUAGCUUAGGGCUAAUAAUUAUUAGGGUAAGUCUUAUAUGUUUGGUCCUCAUACUACGAGUUAGUUAACACUUUAGUUCUCAAAUUUUAAUUUGUUGUUAUAUCUGAUUCAAACUUUUAGAAUUGUUCCAAUCAAAUCUUACAAUCUAAUUUGUUGACGGUCGUGCAUUUAUUAGUAAGGUUGAAAAAAAAUAAAAAAUAAUCUUUAUAUGUGGGGUUUUUGGGGAGCCUCUAAGCUUACUCUCUCUCUCUCUCUCUCACACACACAAAAGAAGAUCAAUCAACCUCUCUCUCUCUCUCUCUCUCUCUCUCACACACACACACACACACAAAAGAAGAUUAAUCAAUCUAACUUUGGCCUUUAAAUGAUGUUUGUGUUCUCAUACAAUCUUAACCUUUUUCAAAUGAACUUGCAUUGAAUUGUUCCUUAACUCUUGUACUUUGAACUCCAUUCUAGGGAAAAGGAAGAGAAAAAGUAAGUACUAAAGUCUACUUAAUUUAGAUAGUCAUUUUAAUUGACAUUAGGGAUUUUGAUGGUUAAGAAUUCUUGAGAUUUAUUCGAAUCCGAAUCUGAAUGGUAUUGAUUCACUUCAGCUAAUACUAAACAUGCAUAAUUUCAUUUAUGUAAGUUUAAAGAACAAAAACCGUACGGGUUCACUUUUGGCUACGGUUCUGUUUAUAUCCGAACCAAACCCGAAACCAACCCGUAUUAAAAGAAGGCGCCCCCUUCCGACUGCACUCCCAAUGGUAGAGGGGUGUUUUAUCGACCAGGGAGGUGUUUAAGUGCGGUGUGUCCUAUUCAAUUGGGAAUGGACAAACCGUUAAUUUUUAGACGGAUAUCUGAAACGACCAAGCUUCCAUACAAACCUUGUUCCCUAGUGUCUACAAUAAUGUUGCGAACAAGAACCUUAAAGUGCUAGACUGUUAGGGAAGGAACGGAUGGAAGUGGAGUAAGAUCUUGUCGGGGUUCUCGCCUUCUUCCCGACAGGACAGAAACCUAAUUCUGAAGCUGAAGGAGUCGAUCUCCAUGAGCCCAUUGCCUGACGAAAAGGACAAGGUUCGGUGGAGAUGGGAAAAGUCUGAUAAGUUCUCCGUCAAAUCGCUUUAUAACUUUUUAUAGGACGGAGGAGUUAAUGACAGGAGCUUUCACCAUUAUGGAAGAUUAAAUCCCCUCUAAACGUUAAGAUCUUCGUAUAGCUAAUCCUGAAAAGGAAGGUGCUCGUUGUGGACAACCUCUUGAAAAGAGGUUGGAUCGGUGCGUCUUCUGUGCGGCAACAAUGGAGACAGCGGAUCACCUUUUCGUAAAAUGCCCUACCACCAAAGACCUAUUGGAGAUUUUGAUGCCAAACAAACGGUCCCUUUUUUUUUUGUUCGUCUAUCAACCAGCUGUGGGAUGACUACAAACUUAAAGGUGGUUCGAUAGGAAUGAGAGAGUUAGCUAUGGUCGUCACCACUUGGUGGGUGAUCUUGCUAGACCGUAACUGUCGUAUAGUUGAGAAAUCCAAAAUCCACCGGGUACCUCUUUGACCAAGAUUCUCUCCCUCAGGGAGUUCUGGGACAGCUUCUGCAUCAGCUAAUGCCGGGAAUCCUACCGACCUAGAAUCUUUUUUUUUUUUUCCUCGAGGCCUUACUGCCUCAGUUUGUAGCCGAGUUUAUAUCCUAAAUGAAUGGAGCGGUAGUUGUCACGCCCCAGGGCCAAUUUUAUAAGCCUUUUUGUAACGAAUACAGAAUUUAGAAACAAGAGUUGCGAAAAAUGUGCCAUUUUUUUUCUUUUUUUUUUUGAAUUCAACCUGGCCCACGUGACGUACAGACCAACCACAAAUACAAAGUUUCUCUGUCCACUCGGACAGAGUCUGUCCACAUCAGGAUCACAGCCACAGUCUAUAUUUACCAAUCCGUAAAUAAUUCAUGCGAUGCAUUUUCAUACAGCUAGCGAUCCUUAGAGAUGAUGCAUGCCUCUAAACACUCCUUAGAUGCUGGAUGAUGCGAUGCACAGUACAACAGUCAUUCUAUUUAAAAGUGCUCCCCAUUCGGAAGUUUUGAUUUUAAACUCUAUUUAAUCAUUCAUAAAAACCAUUUGAAAAUCUUUUUAAAACUGUUUUCCAUUCAGAAACUUUACUUUUGAAAACUGACUACUUUGAGGGGUAGAAAACCACAAUGCGUAAAUACAUAAGUCCGAGGACCAAUUAUCCAUAAAACCAAAACCACAAUUCUAAAAUCUCCAAUCGCACGCAUAAUAGAAAAUCACCAAGUCAACCAGUUCACAAAUACUCAAACAGUAGUAUUGAUCAUCUAAUUGAACCAUUUAAUUAUAUAAAUUACUAAUGCGGAAAUAAAACAUAACCAGGGUUACGGCCACUACUGUAGCCUAGCUAGGACGUCCAACCGUCGCAUCAAGAAUCAACUCCUCGGCCGAGUCACCUGGGGAAAUGGGGGGUGAGAAACCACAAUCAAGAUUUUUUCAGUGGGUAUGACAGAACCACGAAGGCAAAUCGUAUUCACUAGAAAACAAAGAAAAUGGAACAACAGAUAUAUGUGUGAUAUAAGAAAAACUACAGUAGUAAUAGAAGCAGAAUAGUAAAUAAGCAAGAACCGAACUAAUACUGUAACAAAAACUCGAUUGAACAGAUGCCUCAAGGGUAUAUAGUCCAAAUCAAACCCAAUCUGGUGCCUGUUAUAUUGGUCCGUAGACCUCAAGCGUUGUCUAUCACAGAGCAUACACUUACAUUGAUUCAUGCGUCCACCGACGACCUAUCCGGAUAAAUACACCCCCCGGUUGGUGGCCAAACCAACCGGUGUCUAGAAUAUACAGUGCUGUGACUAAAUCAUGCUAAUAUGCUCAAUACGAAAACUGGCAAGAAGACCAGUGCUUUGGCCGAAGCCAGAUGCAAGGGCGUACAAUGCCGAACCACGAUCAAUUAGAUCGAACACACGACAAAGGAGUUGAUGUGUUGCCUGGAUCCAAGGUCCACAGAUAUACAACAUAUGUAAGCCUGCUCUACAUGUCUAUCAAUAACUUAUCAUCAUGUAAGCAAUAAGAUAUAGAUGAACGAACGAUAAACAAAGGUAACCGACAUGUAGAGACUACGAUGCUGAUAUAGAAGAACAGAGAAAAGCGAAACGAUCUCACCGACUACCAGCUCGAAGCACCCAUCUGUCACUAUCGCGUCGGAAACCUGGGUAUGCAACAGGCCAACCGGACCUACGAAGAUCCACCGGAUUAGUACCCAACCCACAAACCCAAAAUACAUUACUCACAAACCCCAUACCAAUCCCCGAAAUCGGUUUUCUUAAACUAAUUACCGUAACUCACCGGAAGUCCCGAAAAUCACACCGGACGCCGUCGGGACUUACUAUGUGUCCCGAAACUCACCGACUCAUGCCACGAGUCACCCACUGCCACAAAACACACCAAUUUGGAUGUCUUGGCAGCAAACACAAGAUUACACAACUAAACAAUUAUCGUUGGAUAAUUGUUCGGAUCCAAGUUCCCGGAAGUGUCCAUUUCGACACCAGAACCCACCGUCGCUCAUCCGUCAUCUCCAAACCCAUGAUAAGACGAUGGUGACCAGCCGACAAGGCUCAGCGACAACUCUCAGGGCAAACAAACACCGUUGGAUGAAAUCUGAACUGAAACCGUGUUCCGCCAGCGAAUUUCGCCGAAGUACGCACCGAAAUCGACCUAAACUCGCGCGCGAGGACGACAGGAAUCGACCGGGACGGUCGUCGGGGCUUCGGGGGAGGGCGGCUCGGCCGUCCCUAGGUGGUGGCGGCGCGACUUAUGGGAGCUAAAGCUCGCUCGGCCCGAGUUGGCCCAGUCCGACCGCAAGCUGCCUGGGCGGCAGCGGCGGCUCGCAGGGGCUGCGGCGACUGGCGGGGGAGGUCGCCGUUGCUCCAGGGGAGGCGCUGGUGAGGGGCCGGAGGGGGAAGGACACCUCACUUGCUCUCGGCAGGGAUGGGAAGCCGAGUGCAUGCAAUGUGAGGGAGAGGGAGAGAAAGAAAGCCUUCUCCGACGGUCGGCGGCGUGCGCAGGCAGCGUGGGCAGGCGGCUGGGGCGCGCGCGGCUGUGACACCCCAAUAGUCCCACAUCGGAUGGGAAAGGGGUUGUCAUUGGGUUUAUAAGAGACUUAGACACUAGUAAUAAUAACUGGGCUUAAGCAUUUUGGGCCGGUUGUUGGGCCCAACGAGUUAUUGUUGCUAGUGGCUGGGUCGUUACAGCGGCGCACUCAGGGAAGGGAGCAGAAGCGGCUGGGAGUCAGCUGGGGGCUAGGGUUAGGGUUUCCCUGGAGCAAAACCCUAGAAGACUAUAUAUACAUAAGGUAAAAAUGCACAAUAGUCCCCGAAAAACCCCAUGUUUAGAACCGAGUCCCUUACGGCGUGAGUAAAACGCACGAAUACUCCUCCAUGCCCGAUCUCUCGCGAAACGGUACAUAAAAUGUCGAGCUUUUUGCAAAAUUACCGUUUUGCCAUUAAUGACCCCUCCUCGAUUAACGCACGAUAUCCGGAGAUCCGUCUGUCAGAUUUGUGAACGGAUCACACCAGUACGAUCAGCAUGAUAGAGAUAACAAACUCACAAUUUUGUUUCGCCUCGUUUGGUUACGGAUUCGCGACAAAACCCAUCAUCUCUCGAAAUGGCGAAAUUACACACAAAUACAUAUAUAAUAUAUGUAUUUCCAUAUUUCUCAAAAUCCAUGCAUCAAACCUAAAAUCCAUCGGCGUCAAUGAUUCCAGAAUAGCCAAAUCAUUAAAAACGAGCUAUUGGAUCGUUAUGAACGAAGUCCGAUACGUGCUAGAAGCCAUCUUUACACUUUGGCCUCUCCGGAAACUCAGGUUACUAUUCACUUUAAGUAAAAAGUAAAGAUCGCGUAAAAACUCUAUUCUAACUCAUUUUGCCCCGAAACUUGAUGAGUACUUUUGUAAUUAAAUUACACACAAAAACAUCGUCAACGGAGAGUUUAGCUACACUGCCAAAAUCUCAGUCCUUACAGUAGCAUGCUACUUUUUCUAAAAAAAAAACUUAUAUUAUAUGCACAUAAUAUAAUUUCUUAGAUAUUUAUUUUGAUAAUUUAGUUUAAUAUUUAGUAAAUUAAAUAAUCGGGCUCGAUUUUAUAAUUUCAUAUAUGGGUUUCAGUAUUUUAUUCUGGUACGGUUUCAUAUUUGAAUUUUUAUUCUAGAUCGGAUUCGAGUAUGAUUUCAAAUUUCGUUUUUUUAUUCGUGCCUGGUUUUGGAUUUUGUAACAUAUAUGUAGGAGAAAAUCUAUCUGUGUAACACUCACACCAUAUCAUCUAUGUCUAAUCAAUCAUAUCUCUUCUUUUGAGAGAAUAGUACAAUAAAAAUAUUUUUUUUAAAAAACCAUGAUAAGAUGACUGAACCCUAAGGAAACUUUUUGAUUGGUUGGGAUCACUACAUAAGCAAUAUAAGUGUUGCAUUAUAAAAUUUUCCCGAAUGGAAGGACCUAGGUGGCUACAUAUAUGUAUGAAAAACUCUAGAAUAUAAUACUUAUAUUGCUGAUGUGCAGACCGCACCAAUCAAAAAGCUUUCUUGGGGUUCACCCAUCCUAUCAUGACUUUUGGAAAAUUAUUUUUAUUGUAUUUUUUUUCUUGAAAAAAUAUAUUAUUAAUUGGGAACAGAUGACGUGGUACAAGUAUUAUACAAUAGAGUUUCUCCUGUAUUUGGCCUUGUACUUUUCUCUCUAGGAUCUUCCAAUAAUUGUGGAAGAAGCCAAAUAGUUGGAAACAUUGUGACAUAACCUGCCUUGUACGAAACCAUCAAACUUAUUUAUUUUUUUCUCCUAUGAUUAGUCAAACAUUUCACACAUCCUUGAAAACUUUUUUCAUGGAUAAUGCUAUGCCUAGGACACUUUUAUCUCUCUAUCAUGAAAAUUUAAGAUUUGAUUGGUGAAAGCGAUACAUGAAAAACGGGACGGAUCCUUGGAGGGAGUAUCUCACCUUUCGCUUUAUUUUUUAUCUGAUUAUAAUAGAUUUGGAGCGAGUUAAUCUUAAUAUUAUUUUUGGCCCUUAUUAUUUUAUUUGGAACAGAUCGCACUGAGACAAAUUUUUGUCGAACAUUUGGUGACGUGAAUCGAAGUGGAUUAAAGGACGAAAGAGGUCUCCCGUCUUCCACUUCAUUUACUUGACAGAUCAAGACAGAUUCGAGGUGAGUUAUAUUUUUUUUAUAUAUAUUUUUGGUUUCGGGACGAGAAUUCUUCAACCUGACUCUAUUUGUGUUUCUAGUUAGAACUAUGGACUACUUGGAUUUGACUAUUCAAUAUUUUAAAAUUUUGAUUUUACUAUUUAACUUUCCAAUUUAUUUGAUUUGAGUCUAUGAACGACACUCUGACUAUAAAAUUUAAGCUAAUUAUUUAUUUUAAUGAACUUAUAACUGUGAGAAUUGUACGAAAUUUAUAACUAUAUAUUUUUGUGAAGAUAAAUAAUAAAUUCAAAUUUUGAAGUCAAAGUGUAAAUCAAAUAAAUUAAAAGGUUAAGUAACCAAAUCCAAAGCGUCCAUAAUUUUAGUAAGUUUCAUACAUUUUUAUCCAAAAAAAAUGUUAUUAUAAGAAUGAUUUUUUGACUACGCUUUGAAAAUGCGUCCUCAAGUGUCCACACUAUAUAUAGAGCAACUAUAACGCUUCAAAAAAUAUCAUUGUACAAAGCAAGAUAUCUUCACCGUUCCCUACUGUUGCAAAUCAAUUUAUUGAAAGAUUAAUUGUACUAUUAUUUUAAAUUUUUCGAUGCUUUGAAGCGUCAGAAUUUUUUAUUUUUCUCUACUUUAAAGUGUCAGAAUAUAUUUUAGUGAUGAAUGACAUAAACAUCGGUAUGUAUGUGGCAACUCUUUAUUUGCCGACGCUGUCCGUGAUCUUUUUUGUGUGACGAUAAACUAGUUUAAAAUGCAUUUAUACACCGUUACUUACUGAAAAAUACAUUCUUAAAUGUUGUUUUUCUUGUAGUGUCUAAGGCUUAGUUUAUGAUUGUAUUGUCAAAUGUAUAUCUCCUUUUAUGUUUUAAAUUUAAUUAUUAUAAGGCCUAAUUUGAAACUAGGUUGCCAAAUAUAUUUGUUUUUUAAUACUUUAUAUGCCAUUAUGAGUUGCUAAAAGAAUGCAUUACAUGUAGCAAGAAUGUAUGAAGAAGUCUGUAUUUUUGGCAAGUUAUAUCACCAUAAUUUUUAUGUUCUGAAUUGCUAAAAAAAUGCAUUAUAUGCAGUAAAAAAAAAAAAGAAAAACUUCAAAUACCGGUCUUGUGGUUUUUUUUUUUUCACUUUAGUACCAUGUGGUUUAAAGUAUAUCAAGUUAGUACUCUGUGGUUUCUCACUUUACACUUUAGUAUCCUGUGGUUUAAAGUGUAUCAAGUUAGUACCCUGUGAUUUCGCACUUUAUCACUUUAGUACCCUGUGAUUUUGCACUUUAUCAUUUUAGUACCCUGUGGUUUAAAAAUCAUAGGGUACUAACUUGAUACAAAAUAAAAUCACAGAAUACUAAGUUGAUACAAAAAUAAAAUCACAGAGUACUAACUUAAUACACUUUAAACCAUAGGGUACUAAAGUGAUAAAGUGAGAAACCAUAGGGUACUAACUUGAUACACUUUAAACCACAAGGUACUAAAAUGAAAAGUGCAAAACCACUGGGGUGAUUUUUGAAGAUUUUCCAAAAAAUAUGAAGAGAAUUUAUUUUUUAUAAUUUUAACAAGCAACAUCACUGCGAUAUUUAUGAUUAGACUAUAAAAUAGAAAAUAUAUAUAUCAUUAUAUUCUUCAUUAAUACAACUACUUUUGGCCUAAUUAUAGCCCCUAGGUAGCUAGCUUUUAAUGCCACAGUGACGUUCAACGGUCCCCAUUUUUUUAAAAAAUAUAUAUACCAUUCUAAUUCUUAUUUAAUUUGUUUUUCCUAUAAUGUCAUUUAUAUUGACAAUGGCCUAUUUAACAAAAUAUAGGAUUAAAUACAUUCAGAUCUCUACAAAUAUAAUAAAUUAUAAAUAUAUUUUUAUAAAGUUCAGCUUUCAUAUAUUGUUCCUAUAAAAGUUCUAAUAUUUUUAAAUAUAUCUUUCUAGUUUAUUACCGUUAUAGAUUAUUUAUGUUUUAACAAUAAAUAAGGGAAAUGUUAAUUUUGUCUUCAUAAAUAUAUUUCUUUAAAAGUCAUAAAAGUAUAAUAUAAGAGGGGUAAAAAUAUAUGAAAGUUGAACUUUGUAGAGAUAUAUUUGCAAUUUACUAUAUUUGUAGAGACCUGCAUGCAAUUAAUCCUAAAAUAUAAUUACAUGAUAGAUAAAGAAAGGCCAAUUUGCAUAAAAAAUCUAGUAAUUNUUUUUUUUUUUUUUUUUUUUUUUCUCUUGUUCUUUUUUUCUUUCUCUUCCCAGAGAGCGGCAAAGGCGGAAACGCCACCCCCCCUGCCCCGGCGAUGUUGCCCUCGCUCGCUUUGGCGACGUUGCCGGCGACGAGCCCGGCUUCCCCGCCUCGACCUCUCCCCCGACCCCUCCUACCGCGCUCUCGCCCAGGCCUUCUGCCGCCACGGCCAGGCCCGCUCCGCCGCCUCCCUGCUCGACGACAUGCUCCACCGGGGUCUCCUUCUUCCUUCUCCUUCUCCGUUGGCGCGCCAACGCGAGACGACAACGGAGGGAUUCGGACUCGGCCCGGAGCCAGUCAGAGUGGCGGGGGAGGAACGUGGAGAGGUGGGCGGCACCGCCGAGCCACUCGGCGAGCUCACGGUUCUCAGCGCGGAGGCGCGCGAGGCGGCUCCAGAGCUCCUCGAGGUGGAAGAAGGAGGAAAAAAAAAAGAAGAAGAAUAAACCGAGGGGAAGAAGGAUGAAGAAAAAAAAAGAGAAUAAACUGAGGGAAAGAAGAAGAAAGAAGAAGAGAAUAAAAAAUAGUGUAAAUUUCACUCAAAUAGUACAACGUUUGUCUAAAAAGUGUAAUUUUUGUCAUCCCAAAUGGUGUAAAUUUUACCUAAAUAGUGCAACGUUCGCCUAAAGAGUGCAACUCUCGUCCCAAAGAGUGUAAUUCUAUCUCAAAUAGUGUAAAUUUUAUAUAAAACAGUGCAAUUUUUUUUAAAAUUGCACUCUUUGAGACAGAACUGUAUUGUUUGGGUGAAAUUUACACCAUUUCUCUUUUUUUUUUGUUCUUCCUCCUCUUUCUCCUCCUUCUCCUUCAAUGCUCGCCAUGUACAAGAACCCCAACCAUGGCUCGUCCCAUCCCAGCACCCCUGUCGCAGCAUCACUCCCUGUGAUGCCCCAACUUCCCAGGGGGUUACCCAUCCUAGGACUACUCCCGUCCUAGCACGCUUAACUCUCUUAACCUCUUGGGCCUUGCCACCACCCAAAAUGCUUAAGCCGGGUUAAGAGUUUAGCCAUAUUAUAUCUCACAUAUAGGACUCUCUGGGGUCUCACACUCCCUCACCCACAAGGGCCUCAAAAUCCGUGCUUACUACAGAGCGGCCAUGGGAAACGGUGGAGGAAAAAUGGCGCUCGCCGUGGUGCUCUUCAUGUUGGGGAGCGUCGAGGUGAGCGUGCCGGCAAGGGCGACGCCGGAGAAGGAGGAGGGGGCUGGCGGUGGGUUUGGCCAUGCCGUGGGUGGUGAUAUUGGUGGCGGGAUUGGGUCGGCGGGGAGGCCGCGGUGGAGCAUGUCGUCGAGCAAGGAAGCGAUGGAGCGGGCCUGGGCGAGGGCGCGGUAGGAGGAGGGGUCGGGGGAAAGGCCGAGGCGAGGGAGGNCGUGGUGGAGCAUGUCGUCGAGCAAGGAAGCGAUGGAGCGGGCCUGGGCGAGGGCGCGGUAGGAGGAGGGGUCGGGGGAAAGGCCGAGGCGAGGGAGGCAGGCUCGUCGCUGGCGACGUCGCCGGGGUCGGGGGGUGGCGUUUCCGCCUCCGCCGCUCUCUGGGAAGAGCAAGAAAAAAGAACGAGAGAAAAAAAAGAGGAAGGAGAAAAAUGUACAAGGGUAUUUUAGUUAGUUUGCUGAAAAAUCGGACCGAAUCUGCAAAAACGAAAAAGAUAGCCCACUUAUGCAAAAGCCCAAAAUUAGUGGAUUUUUAUGCAAAUUAGCCAUAAAUAAAAUUCUUUAUCCCCGAUUUAUUUAUUUAUUUAUUUUUCCUCAAAUGAUGGUUUUGUUUUACUAUAUUUGUAGGGACCUGCAUGCAAUUAAUCCCCAAACACAAUCUCCUUAAAUCAUUUCGAGCCGAACAUAAUCUCCCUAAAAUCUGUACGGAUCAGUAGUAAAUUUUUUCGAACCCAGAAAAUUUGAUUUGGUUUGAGAAUCGCCAAAAAAUCAAAUCCAACACAACCGAUUACACCCCUACUGAGAUGAGCCACCACUUAUUAGGGCGGUCAACGAGCUGAACAAGAGCGAGCUCGUUAAAAUAUUGAGUUGAUAAAUCCAGCUCGUGUUCGACUUAUUUAUUAACGAGUCGAACAUGAGAUCGCUCGCGAACAGCAAGUUAGAUUGUCAGCCUUACUGCUGGGGUAAAAAGUUGAAAGAAAAUUAGAAAAUUAGAAUCUUAAUCUAAUGAUUAAUUUACAAAAUAUCAGUCUCUUUACAUUUAGAAUGGCCUAAAAUUCAAAUAUUACUAAUUUCUAAGAUAUAUAUAUAUAUAUAUAUAUAUAUAUAUACCCAAUUAUAUAUAUUAUAUAUAGAGAGAGAGAGGAGAGAGUAGAGAGAGAGAGAGAGAGAAAGAAGAGAGAGAGAGUCCGGCUACUAGUAGCAAGCGCUUGUACUAUUGAAUUUUCUACCGUUAGAUCUACCCUUUGAUCAUUUUCAUCCAUUAGAUUAUAUUAUUAAACCAACCACCCACUCAACCUAGAGAACCAAUAUCAAUUUAACUGGGGACCACUAUCAUCUUAACCGCACAUCCUUUUCAUCAACGGCCGCAAAACUCAAGUACCAAGGGCUUGGUACUAUUGAUAGUAUAGUAGCAUAAUUAUAUAAUAAUAAUAUAUAUAUAUAAUAUAUAUAUAUAUAUAUAUAUAUAUAUAUAUAUAUAUAUAUAUAAAACUAGCGUGGAAUACUAUCAAUUGCACCAAACUAUUGGUGCUAUUAGUUUUGAGCUCUUGGAUUGAAAAAUAUGCGGUUAGGAUGAUGUGGCCCCCAGGGUGAGUGGGUGGUAAUUGAAUAGUAUAAUUUAACGGAUAAAAAUAAUCAAAGGGUUAAAUCUAACGGGUGAAAAACUUGAUAGCACCAAAUCCUUGGUGCUAUCGAUAGUAUUCCAGCCGGACUCUAUAUAUAUAUAUAUAUAUAUAGAGAGAGAGAGAGAGAGAGAGAGAGAGAGAGAGAGAGAGAGAGAGAGAGAGAGAGGCUACUAUGUUUCUAGCACGGAGCCUUCCGUGCUUCCAGCUUGUUUUCCAUAUUGCGACUUUCGAAUUGUCGAUUAGCUCCGUUAAAUUUGAUCUAGAGUAUUUGAAGUAUCUAGAAAAUAAAUUAUGCGAUUUUUCGAUAUUAUUUGCCUAGUGAACAAAGGGGUUCAAAAUCAACGGUUGAAAAUAAAAAUCUUACAAAACGUGAUAAUAUGACAUUAAAAAUCAGCGGCUGAAAAGAAAAAUCUUACAAAACGUGAUAAUAUGACAUUAAAAUUUUAGAUCAAAGAUAUUAAUCUUGUUUUAUAUAGUAUAAAAAAUUUUCUAUCAAAAUUUCACAUGAUUUGGAUAUUUCUAUACCGUUAAACUUGCAAAUGGCUCACUACGGCCUUUAAAAUUAUUGAUUUUGAGCCCCUUCAAUCACUAGGAAAAUGAUAUCGAAAAAUCAUAAAAUUUAUUUUCUAGGUACUUCAAAUAUUCUAGAUCAAGUUUAACGGAGCCGAUCGACGAUUUAAAAGUCGCAACAUCGAAAAUGAUGUGGAAGCAUGGAAGGCUCCGUGCUUCUAAAAGCAUAGUAG